GGAACGUAAGAGGGUGGUCCACCCAAAACUAUUUCAAACCAGAUUUGAUCCAAGAUGCUAGAAGACAUUACUAGCAACAAAUUACAACAAAACCAAGAUAAUUUUACCUCUUUUUUUCAAGGGUUGUAGCUUGAUUCCAUUAGAGCAACUCUCACCGAGAACCCCUGCUUGGAUUAUCCUACUUCCCAUUACAAAAUUUAACAUGCAAUGGUACCAUAGUUAUCCCCAGCUUGCGCAUGUCUUGUAUUUUGGUGGUUUGGGGUCUCAAUUAAAUUGGAAUUUGUUGUGAUGGUGCUUGGAGUUCUUUUUGGCUAUGGUGGUUUAGAGAGAAGGCAGAGAGUUCGAAAAGAGAGAGAGUUCUGGAGUGUUCACAGGAGAAAAGGAAAAGAACAAAGAAAAGGGGAAGAAAACAGAGUGGGCCAGGUUACAAACACAACACAGUGGUGCAUUACCGUUAAGUUUCAUAAAUAGUGUAGUAAGUUUCAUAAACAGUGUCAUAAGUUUUCAUAAACAGUGUAAAAGUUUCAUAAACAGUGUGAGGACAUGAGUCCGCGUGUCAAAUUUUUUUUUAAAUUUUUUAAAUAUUCAAAUUAUGUCAUUUUCAUUAAAAUUUAAGUUCUUUUGUCCCUUUUAUUAAAAUUUAAGGGUUUUUCAUUAAAAUUUAAGUCUUUUUAAUUAAAUAAAGUUAUAGCAUGAUUUUAUAUUAAAAUAAACUUAGUCUAAACCCCUUUCAUGAAAGUUCCCUAAUUAUAAUCAACUCCCAAUCCGGAAAGGAAAAGGAUUCCUAGACAAAUAAGGAAAUCUGGUCCGCCACGUCCUAUUCGAUUUGGGUUUUCUUAAUUUAACCCUAAUUCAACUCACUAUGAAUGCCUGACCCAAACAAAAAAAAUAAAUAAAAAAAUACUCACUCAGAGUCUCUAUAUAUUCCUCCACCCUCGUAAGUUCACACCUCAAAUUGUCGAGUUCUCUUACGUGCCCCGACAACAUGAAGCUCAGCGAGAACUUGAGGCUUAGGCUUUUCAACAGGGCUUUCGACUCCUCAAAAUGCGACAAAACAAUAGUGUUGGUGGUGGAUAGGAUACGCAAGUUAAGGAAGAGGAAAGAGGAGGACAUUGUGAAGAUGAGGAACAAAAUUUCUGCUCUCUUGCAGUGUGGUCAAGAGCCAAUUAAUAAAACUUGCACUGCUCGUAUUUUGAUCGAAGAUCUGAUAAGAGAAGAAAACAUUUUGGAGGCGUACGUGUUGAUCAAGGGUUUUUGUAACUUAGUUAGGGGUAGGCUCUUAGUUAUUCAAGUGCAGAGGGAAUGCCCCGAAAAUUUAAAACAAGCGAUUAGUAGUUUAAUUUUUGCAGCUAAAAAAUGCUUCCACGAGAUUCCAGAAUUAUUGACACUUGAGAAAUUUUUUAAGAUGAAGUAUGGAAGUGAUUUUGUGCAUGCGGCUACUCAAACCAACUGUGUUACUCCCGUGAUGGUUGAGAAGCUCUCAAAUAGAAACUCUACAGACGAAGAAAUAGAGAAGAUUAUUCAGCAAAUAGCCAAGCCAUGCAAUAUAAAUGGAGAACAACAAGCGUGGAACUGUCAUCCCACAGCACCAUACUUAUAUGAUGGAGUUGCGUACAAUGCUUUUCUCAAUUAUAAGUGAAGAAAUUGUAGUAUCCAAAUUGGAGUAGUUUACUCUUUGAAAAAGAAAUUGGCUGUUUACUAUAAUGUAGCAAGGAAUGAUGUAUGACAAGAGUGCUUAUUACUUUUUUUUAUUUUUAUUUUUAUUUUUAAGUUUUAGUUUAGAGUAAUGUUAUUCUUACCAUCUAAAUAUUUUUCAUAUCACCUUAUACAGAAAUUGAAGUGGACUAACACAUCAAUUUAAAAAAGAUCUUGUACCAGCAGAGGUGAAUAAUCACAUUAAUUAAAAGAAUGAUCUUUUUUUUUUUUUUUGAAAAAAAGGGGGGGCAAUUGGUGGCAAACCAUGGUUAUCCAUCCAUUUAGGGGAACGAGAAGACUCACUGAGGCAUUUCAGCCUUUUUUUUUAUUUUUUAUUUUAAGAAAUUGAUGAAACCUUAAUGUUCACGUUUUCUAGGCUCAUAGUUGCCUCCUUCUUCCUCUCAUCUCUCCAUCAUCAUUUUGCUUUUCCAACGAUUGAUGGUACCCCUCCACCUUUGCCGACAACUGAUCAAACCUCCACAAUCACAAGUGAGGGGCUUAGAGUAAGAAGACAGUUCAUCCCAAAGAUCUUUGAGUUUGGUGUAGUAUGUGAAGAUUGACCGCUGUCCCUGGCAGCAUUAGCCAAUUUCUUGUUGAAUCUGAUAAGUCCUUGAAUUAUUGCCUUGUAAGAAUCGAUCCUCAAGAUCCUUCUGUUUGCCCCCUAAAUUCACCAUGGACCUCACGGACAUUUUAGAAAUUUACUCGAACAAUAAACUAGUGGGUGCGAGCGUGCCAUUACAAGAUGCCGCUAGUAGACGGGAUUUGAAUGAUUGAGAUUGCGCCUGACUACGGCUUCUAACCAAGAGAUUGUGCCAUUGAGUGGGAGUGGCUCAAAUCAAGGUUCUUUCUUUGCCAUAAAGAUAAGGACUUCACUUAUGUGGAGAAAUGUAACAACAUGUAAAUGGCAGGUUUGCUAGAAGUGUAAAUGACUGGUAUUAUAGAUUGCUUGUAAAUUAAAUGACUAGAAAUGAGUUGUGCAUAAAUGUAAUUAUUUAAAGUACAAAACAUUAUAAGUACAAAGGGAUGCCAAAUACAAGGUUCAAGCUUGUUCCCAAGGGAUCAGGCAAGUUGCUCUAGUCUUGUGGCAAUUUCUAGUGGUUUGGGGAAUGGGUUUGAAGGUUGUAAAUAAAAAUACAAAGGAGAUCUAUACUACCGAGUGAGCAGCAAAGCAAUAAACCAGGAAAGUAAAGGGUGCUUGGCUAAAAGUAAAUGUUUACAAGGAUAUUAUAAAAGAGGCCAACUCAGUUUUCCACCACAUGUGUAUUAAUUCUACUUGCAACAGAUUAAUAUUUAAAAAAAGCAAGUUGGCUUCUUUCCUGCACAUGUCCAUCUCCAAGCCUGCCAACGUCCUUACUCACAAUAAAGCCAUCGAUUUAAAUCAUGUGGAGAAACAUUCUCACAUGCAACUUUUGGUAUAUUUGAAACUAGUCCCCCCAAAAUGUCAUAUUUUGGCUUUUAAACCCAAUUAAGUAAAAUUGUGCAUAUUUUAGGUGCAAACAUCUUCCACACAAUAGUCGAGGUUUGCAAUAAAGUAUACUGCCAACAAUAGUACUGUGCACUGAUUGCAAGGUCCACAAGAGUACCAUGUCGUUGCAUCUCUGCCAAAUGGGAAAUUUUGCAUUGGACAUGGAUCCUUUACGGAUCCAUUGGUCCUAAUCUACCAAGUCAUAUCAUCCGGGUCAUUGAAAUUUGAUCCAACGGUUAAAGUUAUUAUAACUUUUAGAAUGGGCCCCUUUUUGUAGCCAUUGGAUAAAAUUUCAGUAACCCAAAUGAUUUAACUUGGUAGAUUAGGACCAAUGGAUCCGGAGAGGAUCCAUGUCCUUUUGCAUUGGUGGUUGCCGGAGCUUUAAUUAAUAGACCCAUCAAUAGACUCGAGCUCAUUCUUUGCACUUAGAGGAAUGCGCAUAGAAUGGCACCAUUAUCAAUAGUUGUGUCAUUUGAGGAGUUUUGAACUAGAACAAGAUUCGAUGAAUCCGAUUGAUGUAAGGUGAGAGGAUCAGGUGUGUUUUGCACAGCCUCUGUUAGCUAUGUUUGUAGUAAAGGUUGGUUGUGUUUGUAGCGGAAGAUGAAUGGGUGUCUAGAGUCACCAGGAUCGUGUUGAUCUGAUGCCAUAUAAAUUGAUGUGUGAAUAUUUUUGUACUGGAUAAUUGUAACUGUACAGAGACAAUCCUUUCCUACAAUCACUCCAAGACGGAUCAUGACUAUUUAAUCCUACAAUUACUCCAUAUCAUAUCAUAAUCAGAUCGCUCACUAGUUUGCUUCCUUUAACAGACGCAACUAUUGUAUCUUCAUGCACAACCUUUAUAGUUAACCCCUUUCACAUCUAUAUAAAAGGCAAGUCUCAUUUAGGCAUUCAACUUAUUUAUCAAUUUCAUUUAUAGCAUUAACAAGUGUUUAGUAUAUUUAGACUAAAGGUUAAGCGAGUCUAUAAAGGAGUGAAACAUUGUGUUUCAGUAAGGCCUGCUACUCAUACCAUAAGAGAAUGUUUGGAGAGAGAGAGAGAGAGAGAGUGAGAGAGAGAGAUGUUGAAGAAACGAAGAAACACUGACUUGUAUGACAUCAGUUGAGAGUUACAACGCACCUCACUUUUUCUAUAUCAACUACAUAGCACAUUAAACUUGAAAGCUAACUAACUCUAGCUAUAAGAAACUAACUUUUCCUCUAACAACCUGUUAUUCAUCUUAACUUAUCAUCCCACAGGAUUAUGACCCAUGGCACCUCACAGAAUGAUGACACUUGUCGCUUAAUACCCCUCAAUCUCAGCAAAGAAUUUCAGCCUGAGAUUCAGACAUUACUGCAAAAAUAAUGGAAAGUGAAAUUAAAUGAUCAAAUCUCCUUUUUGCACUCAUUUCUCAAACAAAAUGGUAAUUUGUGUCCAAAUGUUUAAUUCUUAUCUGAAACCAAUGGUGGAUCUAGGAAAUAAUAUUAGGGGGGCUAGUAAGAAUAGCACACAUAGCUCGGAAAUUGUUUUAACCAGAAAUAUCAUGUAUAUCGCCAUUUCAUUAUAUCUUGGUAGGCUUGAAGUCAUUUGAAAAUGCAUACUACACACAUGUUAAUGUACGCAAGGGGUAGCACCCAAGGUAUUUAUGGACAUUCAUCGGGUUUUGGUAGGCCUUAAGUCGGUUAGAGGGCAUGUAUGAAGCCAACUCUAAUCUUCAAAAGGGCAGCACUCAAGGUAUCUAUGGACAUUCACCGAAAUGCAGAGGGUCAGUACCUAAGGUAUCUAUGGCUGGUCAUCGAAGUUCCGGGGGCCAGCUGACCCCCCUUACCCCUUAAUGGAUCCUUCAUUGUCUGAAACAAUGGAUUAAUAUGAGCGGAGAGCAAAUAUCAUAGUCUAGAUUUGGUGUUGAAGACAAAUAUACCUAAAAUUCUUUCAAACUUAAUCGUAUCGUAUCCAAGCAACAUAUGCAGUUAUAUUUCCAAGUUCCUUAUACUCUGCCUCCACUGAAGUUCGAGACACACAAUUUUUUCUUCAAUUUCCAUGAAAUGGGUAUCGCCAUUAUUGUAUUAACUUUGGUAGUCCUAUUUGCAUCACUAUAAGCUAACUCCAAAUUAAUAACUAAAACAUGAAAGGCCACAAUUUAUAAAUUUCCUUGUAGAUAACAUAGAAUCCUUUUAACCUGAUAAAAAUGAGCAUCGAUUGGAGUAGACAUGAACUAUAACAAGCAUAGUUCACAGCAUAUAGGCUAUAUCAUGUCUAGUGAAAGUUUACUGCAAAGCUCAUACUAAAAUCCUAUACAAAGUGCAAGACAAAACUUACAAUGUCAUUCCAGCCUUUUGAAGCACAUCUCUGCAUACUUAGAUUGAGAAAUAAAAACAUCCCAGAAAUAAAAACAUCCCAUUACCCUCAUAGGUGACUUGUAAUCCUUACAAAUUAUAUAAAUUAAUUAAAGGAAAACUAAUCAAAAGAGCUUCAAAUCUUUGCAUUUUAAUCCAAAACCAUUCACUAACUUUAUUUCAUGAUAAGGACAAAAAAAUAAAAAAUAAAAAAUAAACAUAAAAAAAUCCAAGUCGCGCGUCCCUCACCCCUCAAACAAAACCCCCCCCAAAACUCCCAUCAAACCACUUCACCAUCCCCCACCCCAUCAAACCCUAGACAGAUCAAGAAGAGAUCCUGACCCAACCCCAACUCCAGUUAUUGUCACCCCAAGUGCUGCAACAACAAUUGCUAGCAGAUCAAAUUUCAAAGCACCAGCAGCUCCACCACAACUGCGACCAAGUACAGCAGCAUCAAGAGUUAGGUAUAGGAAGUGUUUGAAAAACCACGCCGCCAGCAGCGGUGGCCACGUGCUCAAUGGAUGCGGUGAGUUCAUGCCGGGCGGAGAUGAGGACAAUUCGGGAUCCUUAAAAUGCGCAGCUUGCGAGUGUCAUAGAAAUUUUCACAUAAAAGAGAUCGAUCGCGAACAUGUAUCAAAUAAUUAAUAAACCAACAAUAGAACAGCCACAUAGACUUGGCGAUAAAAGGAUAAAAAUAUGUGUAUAUUUUUAUAAAAAUAAAAUAAAAAUGAUUUUUAAAUAUUUGUAUUUUAAUAAGUAUCGAAGAAAAUUAGUAGAAGAAAAUGUGUUUGGAAGGUGAGAAUGUGCCAAGAAUAUUCAAGAAGAGGAGAGAGAAGAAUGUAGUACCACUAAUUUUUAUAAACAGUGUAAUACUGUUAAGUUUCAUAAACAGUGUAGUAAGUUUCAUAAAAAGUGUCGUAAGUUUUCAUAAAUAGCGUAGUAAGUUUCAUAAAAAGUGUCUUAAGUUUCAUAAACAAUGUAGAAAGUUUCAUAAACAGUUUGUGUGAGGAUUUGCAUGGGUCCACGCGUCAGAUUUAAAAAAAAAUUUAAUAUUAAAAUUAUGUCAUUUUCAUUAAAAUUUAAGUUCUUUUGUCAUUUUAUUAAAAUUUAAGGGUUUUUCAUUAAAAUUUAAGUCUUUUUAAUUAAAUAAAGUUAUAGCAUGAUUUUUUUAUUAAAAUAAAUUUAGUCCAAGCCCUUUUCAUUAAAGUUCCCAUUAAUUAACCAUUAAAAUAUAUAUUAUACAUAUAUUCUUUUAAGCGGUUUUAUCAUAAAUGGUCCCUGAAACUUACCCUCAUCAUUAAGAUAGUCGUUGAAAUUAAAAAUCAAUCAAUGUAGUCCUAGAAAAUAGGUAUCGCAAAUCAAUGUGGUCAUUUCGUCACAAUUCUAUUAAAAUUUCCAUUAAGUGCUGAUAUGGCACAUAAGUGGGUCCCACAAGAAUUACGGUUUAUUUAUUUAUUUUAUUUUAUUUUAUCACAAAUGGUCCCUGAAAUUGACCCAUACCAUCAAGAUGAUCCUUGAAAUUGACCCACACCAUCAAGAUUGUCCCUGAAAUUGACCCACACCUGGUCCCUGAAAUUGAAAAUCAAUGCAUGUAGUCCUUGAAAAUAGGUGUAGCAAAUCAAAACCAUGAGGGCGUGGUUGGGGCCCAAAACGGACAAUAUCAUGCUACGGAGGAGUCGAGCUCGAGAUGUGGUGGGAACCCGGGCCGAGAUGUGACAUUUUGGUAUCAGAGCCACUUUGUCGUAUGGUGCGAGUGUGCCGACAAGGAUGUCGGGUCCCUAAAGGGGGUGGAUUGUAACAGCCCACAUUGCCAGGGGAGUGGAUCCUGUAAGCCUUAUAUGUAUAUUCUCAUCUCUACCUAAAAUGAGCCAUUUUGGGAGCUCACUGGCUUCGGGUUCCAACAGAACUCCGAAGUUUAGUGAGUUCACGCAAGAACAAUCCCAUGAUGGGUGACUCACUGGGAAGUUUUCGUGUGAUUUCUUAGAAACAAAACCAUGAGGGCGUGGUCAGGGCCUAAAGCGGACAAUAUUGUUCUACGACGGAGUCGAGCCUGGGAUGUGGUGGGGGUUCAGGCCGGGAUGUGAUAUAUUUAGUUUUAGAAAUAGUGUGCGUUAUUUUGCUAUAGUUCCAAAAAUAGUGUGGCUUAUUUUGCUUUAGUAUCAGAAAUAGUGUGGUUAUUUUGUUGUAAUUCCAGAAAUAGUGUGGAUUAUUUGUUGCAGUUUCAUAAAGAAUGUUAAUAAUUUUGUUGUGGUUUCAUAAAUUGUGUGGUAAUUUUUUAUGUAGUUUCAUAAAUAGUGUGGUAAUUUGUUGUAGUUUUAAAAAUAAUGUGAGAAACUUUGUUGUAGUUUCAUAAAUAGUGUGGUAAUUUUACUGUAGUUUCAUAAAUAAUGUGGUAAUUUUUGAUGUAGUUUCAUAAAUAGUGUGGUAAUUUGUUGUAGUUUUAAAAAUAAUGUGAGAAAUUUUGUUGUAGUUUCAUAAAUACUGUGGUAAUUUUACUGUAGUUUCAUAAAUAGUGUGGUAAUUUUGUUGUAGUUUCAGAAAUAGUGUGGGUAAAGUUUUAGAAAUAGUGUGAGUAAUUUUGUUGUAGUUUCAUACAUAGUGUGGUAACUUUGCUGUAGUUUUAUAAAUAAUGUGAGUAAUUUUGCUAUAGUUUCAUAAAUAAUGUGGUAAUUUUGAUGUAGUUUCAUAAAUAGUGUGGUAAUUUGUUGCAAUUUCAUAAAUAGUGUGGUAAUUUGUUAUAGUUUCAUAAAUAGUGUGGUAAUUUUGCUGUAGUUUUAGAAAUAUUGUAGGUAAAGUUUCGGAAAUAGCGUGAGUAAUUUUGUUGUUGUUUCAUAAAUAAUGUGAUUAUUUUGCUAUAGCUUCAUAAAUAGUGUGGUAAUUUGCUGAAGUUUCUCAAAAAGCCAAAUAACACUAAACCACACGUUAAUUUUUAACUUGAAAAAUAAAACUCAGAUAUCCAAAUUUAGUAACACCACAAAUUCUAAUAUCAGAAAACCCAAUUCAUGUUCGUCACUGGAAACAAAACUCAUAGUACAUAAGGCGUGGACUUUGAUCAUGACAUCAUCAGGGAUGUCCGUCGUCUUAGAGGAGAGGAUGGUCUCAACCAUCAUCAAUUACUAAAAUUAAUCACUUCCAAAAGCAAAUCCCAAAUCCCAAAUGCAAUCUUGCAAGUUCAACUAGACUACUCAUCAUGACGUUAAUCUGCCGUGAAGACUGCUGGAAUAGCUAUUUAUGAAACUUACCAAGAACUUGGCAUUAUUUAUAAAACUAGACCAAGAAAAAUACAUUAUUUAUGAAGCUGUACUAAUUAUUGCACACUGUUUAUGAAAAUGGAUUAAGAACUAGACUUUAAUUAUGAAACAUGACAAAAAACUAGGCACUAUAUACGAAAGUGGACCAAGAAUUAGGCAUUAUUUAUGAAAUUGGACUAAGAAUGAGACACUAUUUAUGAAACUGUGCCACCUACUAUAUACAAUUUAUGAAACAGUACCCAAUAACUAGACACUAUUUAUGAAAUUCAAUCAAGAACUAUACAUUAUUUAUGAAUAUGGACCAAUAAAUAGUGUUGUACUAUUCAGUUUCAUAAAUAUUAUAAAUAGUGUAGUAUCGAUCAGUUUCGUAAAUAGUGUUCGGUUUCAUAAAUAGUAUAAUACCAUUCAGUUUCAUAAAUAAUGGAGUACCGUUCAGUUUCAUAUAUAGUGUAGUAUCGUUAAGUUUCAUAAACAGUGUAAUUUUGUUCAAUUUCAUAAAUAGUGUUUAUUAUGGACGUUCGAAUCCCGCACACUGGGGUUUUUUUAAUAAUUUUAAAUCUAUAUUCGUUUCCCAUGCCUUUCAGUAAUACGCAACUCAUGCUAAUUAGAACUUUUUUUUUUUUUUUGAAAAACUGGAUAUAUUCAUAACCAGGGCCUAACACCAGAGGAAACAAACAGAAAGCAGUGAAGAGGGGAGCAAAGGCUAAAGACGUAGCACCAAGUGCCAAGUGUCACCAUUUUCACCGCCUAACUACAAUUACGGAGGACAUGGGAGGCCAUCCUUGUUGCCUUUCUCCUUUCACAAAGUUUGCCGAUGAUAAACUAACCCACCCAAAAGGAAAAAGCCAUUCAUAAAGCAAACACAACAACUCCAACUUCAAUAACAAAAACAAACAAAACAACUCCAACUUCCCGAUCGCCAUCGUCUCCACCUUCAUCAUUAUUCAAUUGCAGAAAUUCCAUAACAAAAACAGAACCGUAAAUUGAAAUCAGAAACGAAAUCGCAAUAAGCAAAUCUUUUAAACAAGAAACCAAUUGAACGAGAAAGAGAGCGUGUCAUAUUAACAUAGGAGAAACCGAGCUCCAGAGGCUCGAUUCUAAGACGCUUGCCCGUUUAUCGGAUUUGAUCGAUUCAGUUGAUUCGAAAAAUGGUGGAAUUCGAAUUGAAAAUGAAAAACAGGUUGGGUGGAGAGAGAGAGAGAGAGAGAGAGAGAGAGAGAGAGAGAGAGAGAGAGAGAGAGAUCAAUUCAAUUGCAACAACGGAGGAAGUGGAAUUGAAUUGCAAAUAAAAAAAAUUGGGAAAAUUUGAAAUAGGUCCAAUUUUAUAGGCCUACUUUUGACUUUUGACUUUUAAAAUAAGUCCAAUUUUUAAUUACUUUGGACCCAUAUCAAAAUACCCCAUAGAAAUAAUAGCAAAGAAUAGAAAGAGAGAUCGAGAAAGGGAAAGAGUUAUUGAACCAGAAAAGCUUGGCAUUAGGGGUAAAAUGGGAAACUCAAUGUUUGGGCCAUUUUUAUUGGACUGGUUUAGUGUUAGGCUUUGUCCUAAUCAUUAAAUAAAGUUAUUACAUGAUUUUUAUUAACUUUCAAAGUUUUCAAGUCAUUUUUAUUAGUUUUUAUUUUGUUUUUAUCUGAUAGCAUCAAAAUCUAGAAAAAAAAAAUUGGUAAAGGCCACUGUGAUAUUUUCUUAAAGUAUAAAAGGCAUUUUAGACUUUUGAAAUUGAAAAAGUUCCAUUCGAGGGAGCCAAGUGCUUCCUGUGUUUUCUCCCGGCAACACUUUUUAGGAGGAUGCACCUCCUAGGUGCUUCUUCAAAUCUAACUUAAAGUGUUUCUACUUUUAACUUAAAACACUUCUAAAAUUUUGCCAAACCAUCAUUUUUCACAUGUAAGCGCUUUUAACUAUUUGAAAGCACCUCUCAAACAAAGCCCCGUAAUUCAAGUGCUUGGUUUUGGGGUACUAUAAAAAGUGAGGUUGGGUGAAAUUAAAGUUCGCCAUAAUUGUUCCUAACAGUGUGAGUUUGCUUGUCAUUUUUUUAACAAACAAUAGGAUAAUUUACAUUAAAUUCAUCCAAAUUACGAAAUGGGGGAGAAGUGUUAAACUUGGAAUGUAGUGAGUUGAUUCUUUAAAACUAGGGCAAUCCACCACUUGGAAGUUUAUUAGUUGUAUUCUUUUUAGUUAGGGAGCAUCUCCACCCAUCCCCAAUUGCAAAGGUGAAAUUGCCUUCUUGCCCAAAAGAAGUUGCUCCACCGGUGAAAAAUGGGAAGUGCAAUUAUCGGAAAGCUAGGUGUUUUGGUAGCUGCCUUGCCAAUUAUUACAGGGGCUUGCGCUCGGUUGAUGAAGCAGCAGAGGGAGGUCCACCCCAUGUGAAGGAGACAGAACCAAAUGACUCAAACAUGAUGCAAUAAUAGCAGUUGGAUUUACCAAAGGUCUAUUGUUGGGUUCAAGUCGAGGUGGUUUUGUAGUUGUGACAAAUCCAGACUGAGCCUUUGUUCCUUUUUGGUGUCUCAAAAUUAUAAACAUAAAGUUGUCCAUCAUUGCUAGACAGAAAAAGGAGAGAGAGUGCUUCUAUCAUCACAUCUUUAACAAGUGGCCGUUGGAUUUUCAAUAGUAAAAAAAUAUAAAAAAAUUUGGUGUUGCGCCACGUGGUGCAUUGUGGUGCGUCAAAUUCUAAAAAUUUGAAUAGUUAUGAUUAAAAGAAUCUAAAAAAUCGGCAUUUAAAAAAAAUUAUUAAAAAACAUUAAAAAAAAAACUUACAAAGUUCAUACUUAAAAAAUCUUACAAAGUUCAAUAUACUUGCAAAUUAAACAUUAUUUUUGUUGCUAUAAACAACGAUAUUAUCUUCUAAAGAUGUGGGAGUGUAGGCUAAGCCUCACAAUGAGCUAAUCGAACAUAAGGCCUUUUAAUUACAAGUGAAGAGGAAUACAACUAGACUGUAUUACUAAGUGACAAUUAAACAUUUAAAAUUAAACAAAAAUCUACGGCGAUAAUGUCAUGUAGGAAUAAGACGAAGAAAAUAUUGUAAAUUAAAAUAUAUAUUUGUGAAUAGUAAUUGGUCUUGCCCUUGCCUUCCUUCUUCCAAACAUGUAGACUUGCACAAAGGGAAUUGAAGUGAAUAAUACGGACAAUUUGCUGCCCUUGCCUUCCAAUUGUCAUUGCCCUCCGCCAACAGAUGAAAAUGCUCUUAGGGCUAGUUUUGAGAUUUUAAUGCCUAGACUGGAGCGACAACAGAAAAGCCUCUUAACUAUUUAUGCCUAAUUACAGAUGCACACAAAAAAAUCUGAGUAUUUUCUUUUCACAUUUUGGGGAAUGGAAUGAAAUCUUGAUUAUUUUGUUUUGACUCUUAUAGCAAUCAAUGCAAUAAAACAAAUCUUGAUUAUUUUGAUGGAAAAUGCUAGAGAGACUAAAUUUAUAGACUAAAUUUUGUAAACUAACCGAGUCCAUAGAGUUGGCCAGACCCGAUUCUUCAAAAGUAGAUGGACAAUCAUACUCCAGACACUUUGAAGCUCCUGGUAAAUGGCUUUUCCUUGGCUUCCUUUAGUUGGGAAUAACAAAAUGACCACAAUAGCUGAAGUGCAAAGGAAGUUCCGCUGGACCCUGCGAUCGUCUAGAAGACGGAUUCCAACUCUGCAAAGGAGGUUCCGGUCUGGAAGACGGACUCCAACUCUGAAUCGAGGGUUUAGCAUAUUGUGCUUCUUAUCUAAGUUUUGUGCAUGAUUCGUAUUUGGAUAUGCAACUAGCACAAUUGGAGUUUAUUUUAGGGACGAGAAAACUUCAAUUCAAGAUAGCUUUAGGACCAAGAAAGCAUCGUAGUGUUAUUAAACGCCCCAUCCAGUUACUAUUUAAAUGAGGCCGAAAAAGUAAACUUCAAUACCGGUUAAUUUUAAAGAAAACUAAUGAAAAAUGUUUGAAAACUUUGAGUUUUAACGAAAAAGAUAAAAGAAAGGGUAAAAUGAAUAGUACCAUGAUUAACUUUUUAGUGUAAAAGUGUAGUUUUUCGUUAAAGUGAACAAUACCGGGACUUUUCGUUAAAGUUUCUUUAAUUUUAAUCAAUUCCCAAUCCGGAAAGGAAAAGGAUUCCUAGACAAAUAAGGAAAUCUGGUCCGCCACGUCCUAUUCGAUUUGGGUUUUCCUAAUUUAACCCUAAUUCAACUCACAAUGAAUGCCUGACCCAAACAAAAUAAAUAAAUAAAUAAACCCACUCAGAAACUCUAUAUAUUCCUUCACACCUCAAAUUGUCAAGUUCUCUAACGUGCCUCGACAACAUGAAGCUCAUCGAGAACUUGAGGCUUAGGCUAUUCAACGGGGCUUUCGACUCCUCAAAAUGCGACAAAAAAGCAGUCUUGGCGGUGGAUGGGAUACGCAAGUUAAGGAAGAGGAAAGAUGAGGGCAUUGUGAAGAUGAGGAACAAAAUUUCUGCUCUCUUGCAGUGUGGUCAAGACCCAAUUAAUAAAACUUGCACUGCUUGUAUUUUGAUCGAAGAUCUGAUAAGAGAAGAAAACAUUUUGGAGACGUACGUGUUGAUCAAGGGUUUUUGUAACUUAGUUAGGGGUAGGCUCUCAGUUAUUCAAGUGCAGAGGGAAUGCCCCAAAAAUUUAAAUCAAGCGAUUAGUAGUUUAAUUUUUGCAGCUAAAAAACGCUUCCACGAGAUUCCAGAAUUAUUGACACUUGAGAAAAUUUUUAAGAAGUAUGGAAGUGAUUUUGUGCUUGCGGCUACUCAAACCAACUGUGUUACUCCCGUGAUGGUUGAGAAGCUCUCAAAUAGAAACUCUACAGACGAAGAAAUAGAGAAGAUUAUUCAGCAAAUAGCCAAGCCAUGCAAUAUAAAUGGAGAACAACAAGCGUGGAACUGUCAUCCCACAUCACCAUACUUAUAUGAUGGAGUUGCGUACAAUGCUUUUCUCAAUUAUAAGUGAAGAAACUGUAGUAUCCAAUUUGGAGUAGUUUACUCCUUGAAAAAUAAAUUGGCUAUUUACUAUAUUGAGUAAACUGUCGGUUUACCCCCUGAACUUUCACCUCACUUUCGAUUUCCCCCCUGAACCUUUCCAUUGGAAAAUUAAGGACUCAAACUAAUUUUUUUAGCCAAUUUGUCCCCUACCGUUAGUUUUUCAUAUAUUCCAUCCAUAUUUCCGUUAAGUGAGACCAUGUGCACAACAUGUGAGGGUAGUUAAGUUAUUUCUCUCUUAAAAAUGAUUAAAAAACUGAAAAUAAUAAAAAAAGCAAAACUUUCCCUCUAUUUUUUCCCGCUAAUUCCUAUCCUCGAUUUUAUUUUUCCCUCUCAUUCCUAUGCAUGAGAAAUGACAUAUGGUGUUAUUGUCUACCAUUUUUAUUUUCUCUAACAAAUUAAUAAUUUGACAAAUGCUAAUGGUGCUAUUGUCUCCAAAGCAGUGCAUUAAUAUAAGAAACCCUAGUCUUUUUUAUGGACAUGUUUCUUAUAUUAAUGCACUGCUUUGGAGACAAUAACACCAUGAGCAUUUGUCAAAUUAUUAAUUUGUUAGAGAAAAUAAAAAUGGUAGUACAUGCUUCAAAAAAAAGAUUAACUUAGCUACUUAUGAAGACAAUAACACCAUAUGUUAUUUCUCAUGCAUAGGAAUGAGAGGGAAAAUUAAAAUUGAGGAUAGGAAUUAGCGGGAAAAAAUAGAGGGAAAAUUAUUAUUAUUAUUUAUUUUCAGUUUUUAAUCAUUUUUAAAUUGAAAUGACUUAACUAUCCUCACAUGUUAUGCACAUGGUCUCACUUAACGGAAAUAUGGAUGGAAUAUAUGAAAAACUAACGGUAGGGGGAAAAUUGGCUAAAAAAAUGAGUUUGAGUCCUUAAUUUUCCAAUAGAAAAGUUCAGGGGGGAAAUCGAAAGUGAGGUGAAAGUUCAGGGGGUAAACCGACAGUUUACCCUUACUAUAUUAUAGCUAGGAAUCAUGUAUGACAGGAGUGCUUAUUACUUUUUUUAUUUUUUUUAUUUUUAAGUUUUAGUUUAGAGUAAUGUUAUUUUUACCAUCUAAAUAUAUCACAAUUUCAUACCAACUUAUACAGAAAUUGAAGUGGACUAACACAUGAAUUUAAAAACGAUCUUGUACCAGCAGAGGUGAAUAAUCACAGUAAUUAAAAGAAUGAUCUUUCUUCUUUUUUUUUUUUUUUUUUAAAAAAAGGGGAACAAUUGGUGGCACACCACGGUUAUCUACCCCUUUUGGGUGACGGGAAGACUCACAAAGACAUUUCAGCAUUUUUUUAUUUUUUUAUUUUAAGAAAUUGAUGAAACCCUAAUGUUCACGUUUUCUAGGCUCACAGUUGCCUACUCCUUCCUCUCAUCUCUCCAUCGUCAUUUUGCUUUUCCAAUGAUUGAUGGUAUCCCUCCACCUUUGCCGAUGACUGAUCAAUCCACAAUCACAAGUCAGAGGCUCAAGUUAAGAAGACAUUUCAUCCCAAAGAUUUUUGAGUUUGGUGUAGUAUGCGAAGAUUGACUACUGUCCCUGGCGGUAUUAGCCAAUUUCUUGUUGAAUCUGAUAAAUCCUGCCUUGUAAGAAUCGAUCCUCAAGAUCCUUCUGUUCGCCCUCUAAAUUCGCCAUGGGCCUCGUGGGCAUUUCAGAAAUUUACUCAAACAAUAAACUAGUGGGUGCGAGUGUGCCACUACUAAAUGCCACUAGUGGACAGGAUUUGAAUGAUUGAGAUUGCGCCUGAGUACGGCUUCUAACUAAGAGAUUGUGUCAUUGAGUGGGAGUGGCUCAAAGAAGGUUCUUUCUUUGCCUUACAGAUAAGGACUUCACUUAUGUGGAGAAAUGUCACAAUAUGUAAAUGGCAGGUUUGCUGGAAAUGUAAAUGACAGAGGAAAGUAAAUGACUGGUAUUGUAGAUUGCUUGUAAAUUAAAUGACUGGAAAUGAGUUGUAAAUAAAUGUAAUUAUUUAAAGUACAAAACAUUAUAAGUACAAAGGGAUGCCAAAUACAAGGUUUGAACUUGUUCCCAAGGGAUUGCGCAAGUUGCUCUAGUCUUGUGGCAAUUUCUAGUGGUUUGGGGAAUGGCUUUGAAGGUUGUAAAUAAAAAUACAAAGGAGAUCGAUACUACCGACUGAGCAGUAAAGCAAAAAACAAGGAAAGUAAAGGGUACUUGGCUAAAAGUAAAUGUUUACAAGGAAAUUAAGAAGCUGAUUUGAGUAGAGUUAAUUGAUUGGUUGAGUGUCCAUAAUCAUUUUGCCUCUGCUUCUUUUCAUAGAGAACUAAGAGAGACCCACUUGCUGAGAACAUUGAACCUAUGGAGAGAACUCCACUACCAGCUUGCAUAUGAAAAAAAUUUAAAAGAGGCCAACUCACAUUUCCACCACAUGUCUAUUAAUCAUACUUGCAAUAGAUUAAUAUUUAAAAGAAGCAAGUUGGCUUCUUUCGUCCACAUGUCCAUCUCCCAAGUUUGCCAACAUCCUUACUCAAAAUAAAGUCAUCACUUCAAACCAUGUGGAGAAACAUUCCCACAUGCAACUUUUGGUAUAUUUGCACACUAGUCCCCCCAAAAUGUCAUAUUUUGGCUUUUAAACCCAAUUAAGUAAAAUUGUGCAUUUUAGGUGCAAACACCUUCCACACGGCAGUCGCGGUUUGCAGUAGAGUUUACUGCCAACAAUGGUACUGUGCAUUGAUUGCAUGGUCCACAAGAGUACCUUGUCAUUGCAUCUCUGCCAAAUGAGAAAUUUUGCAUCGGACAUGGAUCCUCUCCGGAUCCAUUGAUCCUAAUCCACCAAGUCACAUCAUCUGAGCCAUUGAAAUUUGAUCCAACAGCUAAAGUUAUUAUAAAUUUUAGAGUAGGUCCCUGUUUGUAGCCGUUGGAUUAAAUUUCAAUAACCUGAAUGAUUUAACUUGGUAGAUUAGGACCAAUGGAUCCAGAGAGGAUCCAUGUCCUUUUGCAUCGGUGGUUGCAGGAGCUUUAAUUAAUACCAUCAAUAGACUCGAGCUUAUUCUUUGCACUUUGAGGAAUGUGCAUAGAAUGGCACCAUUGUCAGUAGUUGUGUCAUUCGAGAAGUUUUGAACUAGAACAAGAUUCGAUGAAUCCGAGUGAUGUAAGGUGAGAGGAUCAGAUGUGUUUAGCACCGCCUCUGUUAGCUGUGUUUGAAGUAUAGGUUGGUUGUGUUUGUAGCGGAAGAUGAUUGGGUGUCUAGAGUCACCAGGAUCGUGUUGAUCUGAUGCCAUAUAAAUUGAUGUGUGAAUAUGUUCGUACUAGAUAAUUGUAACUGUACAGAGACAAUCCUUUCCUACAAUCACCCCAAGACGGAUCAUGACUAUUUGAUCCUACAAUCACUCCAUAUCAUAUCAUAAUCAGAUCGUUCACUAGUUUGCUUCCUUUAACAGACGCAACUAUUGUAUCUUCAUGCACAACCAUUAUAGUUAACCUCUUUCACAUCUAUAUAAAAGGCGAGUCUCAUUUAAGCAUUCAACUUACUUAUCAAUUUCAUUUAUAGCAUUAACAAGUCUUUAGUAUAUUUAGACUAAAGAUUAAGCGAGUCUAUAAGGGAGUGAAACAUUGUGUUUCAGUAAGGCCUUAUGAUUUGACUGCUACUUAUACCAGAAAAGAAUGUUUAGGGAGAGAGAGAGAGAGAUGUUGAAGAAAUGAAGAAACACUAACUUGUAUGACAUCAGUUGAGAAUUACAACGCACCUCACUUUUUCUAUAUCAACUACAUAGCACAUUAAACUUGAUAGCUAACUAACUCUAGCUAUAAGAAACUAAUUUUUCCUCUAACAACCUAAUAUUCAUCUUAACUUAUCAUCCCACAGGAUUAUGACAUAUGGCACCUCAUAGAAUGAUGACACUUGUCGCUUAAUACCCCUCAAUCUCAACAAAGAAUUUCAGCCUGAGAUUGAGACAACGUUGCAAAAAUAAAGGAAAGUGAAAUUAAACAAUCAAAUCUUCUUUUUGCACUUCCUUUCUCAAACAAAAUGGUAAUUUGUGUCCAAAUGUUUGAUUCUUAUCUAAAACAAUGGAUUAAUAUGAGCGGAGAACAAAUAUCAUAGUCUAGAUUUGGUGGUGAAGACAAAUAUACCUAAAAAUCUUUCAAACUUAAUCGUAUCGUAUCCAAGCAACAUAUGCAAUUGUAUUUCCAAGUGCCUUAUACUCUGCCUCCAUUGAAUUUCGAGACACAUCAUUUCUUCUUGAAUUUCCAUGAAAUGGGUAUUGCCAUUAUAUUCCGUUCCCAUUACUAAUACUCAUCAUGUGUUUUGUACAAUAGUCCUUCAUGAAUGCCUUCCUAAGUGCCAAUUUUAUACAUAAGUAAAAUCAAAAUUGUGAAAUUUUAAAAUUUGAUAAUAGUUUGUUUCUAAAUUAUAAAUAGGCUUGUUCCAUUAAAAAGGAUUGUCCAAUGCUCUAGCUAUAAUAACAUUUGACAUCGAGUUUAUUAUUUAUAAGAGUUGAACUUGAGAUGUUUGACUAAAAAAUGAAGGGAAUUACACAUCGUAAUGCAAGUAAAAAGAAAAAAGAAUUGGAAUUUUCAAUGUACAAAUCCUAUCCCACAUCAUCCAAUGCCAAAAUUUGAGUCUCGCCUAAAUAUAAAAAAAAAAAUCUUGUUAAUCAAUUAACCAAGGGAUUUAAACCAUGUGCAUGUAUGUGAUCUUAUAAUUUUCAACAAAUAUAUUGUCUUUACUUUUAAGUUUUUUUUUUUGUAGAAUGAUACUAUAUUUACAACUAAAAGAUGGAAGGAAUAAAUUGAUAUUGAACUUGCUAUUUAUGAAAUUCAAAUCAAAGCAAGUGAAGAGUAACUGGACUAUACUACCAAGUAACAAUUUAGGUCCUUUAACUAUAAAAUCUUUGUUGACAGCAGAAGUUAUAAAACUUAAAAGAUCAUUUCUAAUGUGAUGCUAAUUUUUGUUUUUAUAACUAUUUGUAACUCAUUUCUUUCCAAAGUAUAUAUGAACAACCAAAAGCACGGAGAAAGAUGAAGCUCUACUAUAAAAUCAAUCGGCAAUUCGGAGAGUAGUCUAACUCAUUAUAAGCCCGUGCAAUGUUACUUUUUCCGUUGUGGGAAUUUGUAUAUCGCAUUCUCACACUCCUUCUUAUGUGUGACAAAUUUUUAAGUCUAAGACGUGGUCAACACAAACUAAGUGACAUAGAGCACGUGUAGCCGUUGUGUUUAACACAUGGUGUCAACAUGUUAGAAUAUCAUGAAGUUGAGGUUCUACCCAAUGUUUAAAAUAUCCACAAAAUUGUCAAUAGUUUGUUGAAAAAUUCCUAAAAAUCAAGGAUCGAUACGGAGAUUGGUGAAAUGCAAACUCCACACUAUAUCAAUGAGAUAUAAAUCAAUGAAUAUCGAUGAAUUUUACCAAUUCACUACAUAAAUUUUGAAAAUUUUCUCUAAUUUGACUAAAUCAGAAUGAGUUAAUAUACCCACCCUAUUGCAAAUUUCCAUAAUUUUCAUCGAAGGCAAUCCAUUGAUCAUAAAUUUGCAUAUUAAUAUUUUCAACUAUAUCGAUAUUUUAAAUACUGGUUCUACUAUAUAACCAAUUGACAAUAUGAGGAGUGACCUAACUCCUUAUAAGCCUUUUUUCAAGUUUGGUUUUUCUCUGAUGUGGGACUUUGCCUUUCAUAUUCUCAUAAAGUGGACUUUACAGUGUAGGAAAGCAAAUAUUUUUAUGUGUCACAUGUAGGGACGUCUUUGAGAUUUCCAGGGGGGGUCUAUGCAAACUUUAUAAAAGGGUUAUUCCUUAAGAUAGUUUAUCAAGAAAAGUAGACAAUGUAAUGAUACUAUAAAACAUACUUGAAUCAAAAUAAACUUUAGGAUUCGCUGAUUGUAGGUUUCCAAAUGUCAUUAAGUAAUAUAAGUAAAGAGAGCUAUAAACAUAUAUUGAUUAAAUAAUGAAAAACAGUUCAAUCUUAGACAAUCAAACAAGAAAAAAAAACUUCAAACGCUCUAACUUUAAAGUUUCACUUGAAUAUAUAGGAUUAUUAUUUAAUAAAAUUGGAAAAAAAAUUAUUUUUUAGGAUGUUUUUUUUGUUUUUUUUUUUUUUUUUUGAACAAAUUUGAGGUUGUUGUUAUUAGCAUUCAAAAUAUCUCAUUGUGCACUCCAAAUUAUUGUAUUUAGAAAGAAAAAAGUUUACACUUUGUUGAGCAAAAAUUGUACACAAUAUGUAAACAAAUAAUUCACUCAACACAAUUUCACCCUCAUUCAUUUUUUGAAGAGGGUUUUAUUAAUUCGAGUUUGAUCCAUUCUAGGCUACACGCCUAUUAAUUACAACCCUUCCUUUGGGAAAGGAAUAACCUUUGAUUCUAAUAUGAAUAAAUCGUAACUUAGGGAUUUGGGUGUUUAUUUGAUUUUGUGACUGCGUCUAGGUAGAGCCCCAGAUUGCCUACGUACCCUUGUUGAAGGAUCAAGUCACUUGUAGUUCCUUAUGUGUUUUGUCGGGGUUUGAUGCCUUGUGCAGUUUCAACUCGUGCAGGCAAGAAGCAACUAAUGCCUUGUGUUGUUUUAGCUUAUGUAGACGAGGACUUUAAGCCAUUAGAGUGGUUGAUCCCUUAUGCAGUUUUAGCUCUUGCGGGCGAGAACUUUGAGCCAUUGGAGUAUUAAUGCCUUGUACAGUUUUAGCUCAUGCGGGCGAGGACUUUAGGCCAUUGGAGCAACUGAUGUUCUUUAUGGCUUCGUGCCAUUUGAGACUUUUCUUCGGCUUCGUGCCAUUUGGGAUUUGAUAUGGCUUUAUGCCCUUUGAAACUUGACGUGACUUCGUGCCACUUGAGAUUUUGUUGGGGAUUCGUGCCAUUUGAUAUUUGACUUUUUCUUUGGCUUCGUGCCAUUUGAUAUUCUUUACGGCUUCAUGCCAUUUUGUAGCGGCUUUGUGCUAUUUGUAGUAGCUCCGUGCCAUUUGUAAUUUUGAAUUGGCUUUAUGUCAUUUGAAGUUUGAUGUGGCUUCAUGCCUUUUGAGCGGCUCUAUUUUUAUUCACAGAGUCCAAAAGAUAUAAAGCUCACGUGAAUACAAAAUUGUUGUUUUACUUCAACCUCAUAUGGAGCAACAUUCCCUAAAAAACCUAGGAACUUUGUUGCAAGAGCAGCAUCCAUUAAUUGGAAAUCUAGGAACUUGUGCUUGAAGACUUCUCUUUUACCUUUUGUAGAAUUUUUAAUUACUUGAUCAAAGUAGCAGAAGUGAAUUUAGUUCAUAUAAACCAAGGAUUUGUUUCAGUUUCACGGUUGCGUCUAACACUUGAUAUCAGACUGCUUACGUUUCCUUAAUGGAAUCAAACCGACGUAGUUCGUAAUUCAAAGUUGUCUCCAAUGUUUCUUUUUGUUUUAACCGCUUGAACUUGGUGCCUCCGAGAUGACUAGUGAACUCUUAUUUGGCACAUAUGUUUGCCAAAGUGAUAAUGCCCACAUGAAUAAUAUCAGAAAGCUACUCUUUUUCUUCUCUUCGAGUUCCACAUGGAUAGUAUUCUCAUCUAAUUUGCAGCAAGUGAAAAAAAAUGGCUAGUCAUAAUCAUGACUAAUGUUUGAAAGCCACAUCAGAUUCACUUUUUUUAAAAGAACUUGAUGGUGCUUUUGACUUCUUUUCUCCUAUUCUUUGUUUGGUGUCAGGAGGUAGGUUGCCCAUUUUUCCUUUGCCUUUCUGGGACCUUUGUCAAUUGGGGUGUGAUAUUCACACACUUCUUUUUACUUCUCACACACCCUUCAAAGUUCGGUCGUUGGAUCGGUUGAAUUAAAGAAGAUCAAAUGGUAGAAAUUAACAAGGGGUGUGUGAGAAGUAAAAAGGGGUGUGUGGAUAGCACACCCCUUGUCAGUUUAUCUCCAUACUUAAAUUCUAAAAUAAAGCCCAUAAUUUAGAUGGGGGCAGUGGCUUUCUUUUGCUUUCAACGUGAGUCAAUUCCCAUUUAAUUUGAGGGAAUUGUAUGUAGCAAGCUUCUUAUUUCUUUCCCUUGUACACUUGAAUUUUUCAAGUCCAGAUAGGAUGUCACAUGGCGUCAAAAUCCUAGCACAAAAAGGCUUUUCCGUAUAUAAUUAGCAUACAACUUGAAUAAAUUGUUGAUGGAAAUUAAAUAAACAAAUUAAUGAUCAUUAAUAAAAUGAUACUUAUUUAUGUGAAAAUAUAUAUAAUUGACCAUUUGUUUCUUAAAAACAAAAAGAUACAUUAUAGUUGCGUGACAAUCAAAUGAGAAAUAAGUAUUAACUAGACAUAAGAGCAUUUUCAAUAGAAUCCUUAAAUAGGAAGAACCACUGUAUAAAAUAAGUAUAAAAUAAAUAUAGUGACAAAUUGAAUCUUCAAUUGAUCGGAAAAUAAAUCUUUAAAAUAUAGAGACUUACCAAUAUUUAGUGUAUGCACCUACCUAUAGAAUUUGCAUUUGGACUCAAAUGAUGGAGCCUAAUGACAACUUGGGUGGAAAAAUCGGCCCACCAAUUUGAAUGCUGCUGCUCAGCAAUUAGCCUACUUGCCAAGGACGCGCGGGUUGUUUUGACUCGCAAGACAACCGCAUAAAUCUGAAUGCUGUUGUGCAGCAAGAAUGCUACUAGACAGCGCAUAAUGCGUUCUCUUCUUUUUUUUUUUUUCAAAUGAACGGUCAGAGUUUAUUAUGGCUUUCAAAUUUUUUCUACGGUUGAGGAUCAGCGGUUCAGGAACAAUACAAUAUGGCCGGUGCUUCUACUCUCAUUUUGGCUUUGAAAUGAACGGCCAAGAUUCAUUCUUGUUAUGGUUUUGUGAAGAAAAAAAUUGGUAUCAAAAUAUGAAAUUUUGGUCGAAAUGGUCACAAAAUAUUUUACGACAACAUAAUGUGAAAUUAAUUAGAAAAAAAAAAUUAACACAUACAAACUGUCACAUCCUGGCUCAGGCCAUUCUUAUCGUACAUACUACUUCAGGUAGUUCCGAUUUAUGUGCAGAGUAUUGCCGUACAGGUCACCGUGGUGACUCCGGUUGGUUGGAUAUUGAGCUUUAGAAUUAACCGUACAGGACCAACUGCAGGGUCUCCGGUUGAUUCCUUAUUUCACCUGUUAUAUUGAUGCAUCCUUAUUCCGUUAUUGACAUUUAUAGCAUGGCAUACUUUCUGGUUUUUUAUAAAGAUUGAUGAUUUGUGAUAUUUGAAGGUUUAUAUGCAUAUUAUGUUAUUUUCUGGGAAAGUAUACAGGUUUUACAGUGAGGGGUUAGAAAUGUUAUUAAAUGAAAUGUUUUCGAAAAACUUUGUUUUACUGAUCCACUCAACUUUGUUUUGCGCUCCUCCAAGUUCUAGUUAGCAGUAUUGGUGGCUCACGAGGAUUCCCACGGUGUUCUGACAUAAUUCACAAAAGUAGGACUCGCCCUCGGGUGUUACAUCUUAGUAAUUGUAUCUUUAAAGCUUCCAAACUGUGUAAAUGGUUACGUUACUCUUACGUGACGGCCAGCAUGCCCUCCUUCGGGACAGGGUGUGCCACAAACACCUAAUCAAAGUAUCGCAUAAAAUCGUAAAAACCUCAAAAUUUAGGGAUUCUACUGUAAGGACUCACCAAUUGGAGGUAAUAUUCCUAUAGGGACACGAAAAUUCUCUAUAAGUCUCUAAAUGAGUUUUUCUAUGUAGUGGUUGGAGUCCCUAAAUAGGGGCACCCAUUGGAGAUGCUCUAAAAAGAUUAGCAAUUCUUACUUGUUGAACAUCUAUCUCUCGCCUAUGAAUAGAACUUUCAUCAACAAUCUAUUCAUGUCCAGGCAAAAGUAGCUCAUCAUCAUCAUAAGGUUGGAAAUCUUGAUCGUCAUGGAAUGAUUCCAAAUAAAAUUGUGUAAAGUCAUUGAAGGAACAAGAGUUUGUACCUGUUUUUCAAAAGCGAAGCUACGCGUGUGAAGAAUCAUUGUCCAUCUAUUUUUCCAAACACCAAAAGUUCUUUCAAAUUGUGCAUCUUAGGGAUGAAUGCCUAUGAUAAAUAUCUAUUUUUUAAUUCUUGGCUGACUUCCAUGUCGAAAUUCAAGAACAUGAUAUGUGGAUAUCUAGCAUCAACUAGAUAAUAUUUACCUAGACACAUAAUUUAAAAGAAAAAUAUGAGGAUUUUUGUUAAGAUAAUAAAGAAAUAAAUUCUUAUAGGACUAAAGUUGUUUUCUAACCAAAGGGGAUGAGGAAAUUUAAAUUUUGGUCUUCUCAAUGCCUCUAUGAAUAUACGUGAAUCAUGAGCAACACCUCCCAUCCCGCCCAUACAAAUGUAAAGCUCAUAUUAAAAUCCCAUAACGAUAAUAUUUUGAGUUGUGUUGCCUUUUAUACCAAUGUGUGGUAAUUGUAGUUCUCUAGGCACUACAUGUGUUCUGUUGAUUGCCCUUAUGCAACUUUUAAAAUAUGGCCAAUAUCGAUCUUCAUCCUUAAUUAUAUUUGAAACUCUCUUGAAAUUCCAUUUAAAUAACAUCUAAUGGUAUCCCAAACCACAUGGAGAUAGUCUCAACAAAGAGUUAAACCACAAAUCAGAGCAUCAUUGCUCUAUAAAAAGAUCACCUUCCAAAACUAAGCAUAUCACCACAUAAUUUCUAUACAUAAUGUGUAAAUAUUAAGAUAAGGCAUAGAGGCAUACAUUCUAAGAAAAUGAAGAUGGAGAGAGAUUUGGAGAAGAUAGAGACCAAGAGACUGACUGCUCCAGUCUCUAGGACGAUACAGAAAACCUUUAGGUUAUUUUUUUUUGGGAGCUUUAAUGAAAAAGACUUGAAUUAACUUUAAUUUAACCAAAAACCACCACAAACUAUUAUUUAACCAAAACAGCUUAAAAUUUAAUCCUAAGGACAAACUAUUCAUACAACAGGUCUUGCAAACAUAAAAGCUCACGGGCUGAACUAAAAGCCCAACACAAUAAAUAUUUUUUUCCCAAACUUGCCCCUAACGGAAAGCCUAUUACCUUUUUUACGAUAGAGAAAGUCUGUUACCUUAUUAAAUAUGAAGGUACUGAAUUGACGUCCACCAUCCCCACUUCCAUUUUCCUCUGCCGUCCACCAUCCCCCUUUCAUUAUUCCAACUACCACAUGUGCCAAACUAAUAAGCAAAACCAACCAUCCUUGUUUCACUAUGGGGAUGUAGAAAAUUUGAUUUUUUAAGUGACUUUAGAAGAUUUUUGUUUUUUUUAAUUUAUAAAAUAUUGCUAUUUUUGAAUAUUUUUCUAAUUCGUAGAAUAUUGCUAUUUUUGUAUGUUAAAAGACUUAAUAUCGCAAGAAUUCCUUCAGUUAGUAUGGAAUUUAAACCAUGCAUCCAUUUCUAAAGUAAAUCAAGCAUGUAUGAUAAUGAUGAUAGAUUGAAUUUGCAAUCAUUUUAUUGAUGGCGACAAUGUGUAACAUUUUUCGAAAAUAAAAAUGAGGGGAAAGGUGAUGAUCGAGUUCUUUGCAAAUUUGUGUAACAAAUUCCGAGAAAAAGAAAAGGAGAAGUGGCAUAAUUAUGCAGAUUCAGAGGAAGAGAGAGUGGUGAGAGAAUGGGAGCUUUGACUCACCUAGAGAGAAGGUUAGGUGCUUUGACAACGAACAGUAACAAAGCUGUUGUUUGUUGGUGUGGCACUCUCGCUCUAUAUUUUUUAUGAAUUAGUGAGACAUGACAAAUGUACACUUGUAAUAGAAAAUAACGCAUUUGUCACGUUUAUAUGGAGACCACAAAGUUUUAGAAAUAGCGUUUAUUUUGUUCUAUUUUAUAAAUAAUGUGGGUUAUUUUGGUUUAGUUUUAAAAAUAGUGAGUUAUUUUGCUAUAGUUCUAAAAAUAUUGUGGCUUAUUUUGGUUUAGUAUCAGAAAUAGUGUGGUUAUUUAUCUGUAGUUCCAUAAAUAGUGUGGAUUAUUUGUUAUAGUUUCAUAAAUAAUGCGAGUAAUUUUGUUGUGGUUUCAUAAAUAGUGUGGUAAUUUUUUAUGUAGUUUUAUAAAUAAUGUGGUAAUUUGUUGUAGUUUUAAAAAUAAUGUGAGAAAUUUUGUUGUAGUUUCAUAAAUAAUGUGGUAAGUUUACUGUAGUUUCAUAAAUAGUGCGGUAAUUUUGUUGUAGUUUCAGAAAUAGUGUGGGUAAAGUUUCAGAAAUAGUGUCAGUAAUUUUGUUGUAGUUUCAUAAAUAGUGUGGUAACUUUGCCGUAGUUUUAUAAAUAAUGUGAGUAAUUUUGCUGUAGUUUCAUAAAUACUGUGGUAAUUUUGAUGUAGUUUCAUAAAUAGUGUGGUAAUUUGUUGUUCAAAAAUAGUGUGAGUAAUUUUGCUGUAGUUUCAUAAAUAGUGUGGUGAUUUUGCUGUAGUUUCAUAAAUAGUGUGGUGAUUUUGCUGUAGUUUCAUAAAUAAUGUGAGUAAUUUUGUUGUAGUUUCAUAAAUAGUGUGGUAAUUUGCUGUAGUUUCUCAAAAAGCCAAAUAACACUAAACCACACGUUAAUUUUUAACUUGAAAAACAAAAUUCAGAUAUCCAAAUUUAGUAACACCACAAAUUCUAAUAUCAGAAAACCCAAUUCAUGUUCGUCAAUGGAAACAAAACUCAUAGUACAUGAGGCGUGGACCUUUGACCUCGAUGAUCUUGGCGUGGACUUUGAUCUUGACAUCAUUAGGGAUGUCCGUCAUCUUAAAGGAGAGGAUGGUCUCAACUAUCAUCCAAUUACUAAAAAUUAAUCACUUCCAAAUGCAAAUCCCAAAUCCCAAAUGCAAUCUUGCAAGUUCAACUAGACUACCCAUCAUGACGUUAUUCUGCCGUGAAGACUGCUGGAAUAGCUAUUUAUGAAACUAUACCAAGAACUAGACAUUAUUUAUGAAACUGGACCAAGAAAGAGACAUUAUUUAUGAAACUGUACCAAUUAUUGUACACUGUUUAUAAAAAUGGAUCAAGAACUAGACACUAAUUAUGAAACAUGACAAAAAACUAGGCACUAUUUAUGAAAGUAGACCAAGAACUAGGCACUAUUUAUGAAAUUGGACUAAGAAUGAGACACUAUUUAUGAAACUGUGCAAACUACUAUACACUAUUUAUGAAACAAUACCCAAUAACUAGACACUAUUUAAUCAAGAACCUAUUAACUAGACACUAUUUAUGAAAUUGAAUCAAGAACUAUACACUAUUUAUGAAUCUGGACCAAUAAAUAAUGUUGUACUGUUCAGUUUCAUAAAUAGUAUAGUACCGUUCAGUUUCAUAAAUAGUGUAGUACCGAUCAGUUUCAUAAAUAGUAUAAUACCAUUUAGUUUCAUAAAUAAUGUAGUACCGUUAAGUUUCAUAUAUAGUGUAGUACCGUUAAAUUUCAUAAACAGUGUAGUUUUGUUCAAUUUCAUAAACAAUGUCUAUUAUGAAUGUUCGAAUCCCACACGCCGGGUUUUUUUUUGAUAAUUUUAAAUAUAUAUUCGUUUCCCAUGCCUUUAACUAGUAAGCAACUCAUGCUAAUUAGAACUUUGCCUUUCUCCUUUCACAAAGUUUGCCGAUGAUAAACUAACCCACCCAAAAGGAAAAAGCCAUUCAUAAAGCUCAAGAAAAUGGCACUCCUCCAUCAAACCUCUUUGUUGUACUUUCAACAAUUAGGGGAGUAACAAACCCGCGCUCAAUAACUUUAAAUGAAAAAAGAAAAAUAUUUCCUCACUCAAGAAUUUUAAUGCCGAAAAUUCAAUAACAAAAACAAACACAACAACUCCAACUUCCCGGCGUCGUCUCCACCUUCAUCAUUAUUCAAUUGCAGAAAUUCAAUAACAAAAACAGAACAGUAAAUUGAAAUCAGAAACGAAAUCGCAAUAAGCAAAUCUUUUAAACAAGAAACCAAUCAAACGAGAAAGAGAGCGUGUUAUAUUGACACAGGAGAAACCGAGCUCCAGACGCUUGGUUAUGAGAUGCUCGCCUGUGCUAUCGGAUUCGAUCGAUUCAGUUGAUUUGAAAAAUGGUGGAAUUCAAAUUGAAAAUGAAAAACAGGUUGGGUGGAGAGAGAGAGAGAGAGAGAGAGAGAGAGAGAGAUUUGAUCAAUUCAAUUGCAAUAAUGGAGGAAGUGGGAUUGAAUUGGAAAUAAAAAUAAUAGCAGAGAAUAGAAAGAAAGAUCAAGAAAGGGAAAGAGUUAUUGAACCGGCAAAGUUUGGCAUCAGGGGUAAAAUGGAAAACUCAAUGUUUAGGCCAUUUUGGUUGGACUGGUUUAGUGUUAGGCUUUGUCCUAACCAUAAAAUAAAGUUAUUACAUGAUUUUUUUAUUAACUUUCAAAGUUUUCAAGACAUUUUUAUUAUUUUUAUUAUUAUUAUUAUUAUUAUUAUUUUACGUGACAACGUCAAAAUCUAGAAAAAAAAAAUUGGUAAAGGCCAUUGUGAUAUUUUCUUAAAGUAUAAAAGGCAUUUUAGACUUUUGAAAUUGAAAAAUAUGGGUAGUUUAGGGUCUAUUUGGUAUUCUACUUGAAUCCAACUUUUUAAACUCAAAAACAAUUUUCAAGUUUUAAGCCUUAAAAACUUGUUUGGUAGGACUAUUUUAAAAAACUUAACUCAAGACUAACUAAAAAAUAUAGUCUAUUCUCUAAAAACUCUUAAAAAAAACAUAAAAAGUGAGUUUUUAGAGUUUUAAAACUUAAACUCACUCAUUUCUUUUCUCUCCCUACUCCCCUCUCACUCCAAAUCUGUCUCUUUCUCUCUUUUCUUCUUUCCCUCUUCACUUUUUUUUACCUUUUUCAUUUCUCCUCUAAUCCGCUUUCUUCAUUAUCUUUGUUCUAUCUCUCACUCCUCUUCCCCUCUAUCUCGUCCCAUCCUCUCUCUUCUUUCUCUUUCCUUCAAUCAUUUCUUACUUUCUUUCCUCCUCUCUCAUCUUUCUCCCUCUCCCGCAACCCUCUUUUUUAGAUCUCUUUGUUUAGUUUAAAUCGUAAGAUUUAAAAUUUUUAAAUCACAAACCAAUCAAAUUUCUGAGUUUUAAAGAAAAUUGUUUUCAAGAAAUGUUCUUAAGAAAUGUUUUGAGAAAUGAUAAAAAAAAUUCAAAUUGGAUACCAAACAGGCACUUAGGAAUUGAAAAAGUUUCAUUCGAGGGAGCCAAGUGCUUCCUGUGUUUUCUCUCGGCAAUUCCUGUGUUUUCUUCCGGCAGUACUUUUUAGGAGGAUGCACCUCCUAGGUGCUUCUUUAAAUCUUACUCCAAGUGUUUCUACUUUUAACUUAAAACACUUCUAAAAUUUUGCCAAACCAUCAUUUUUCACAUGUAAGUGCUUUAACUAUUUAAAAGCACCUCUCAAACAAGGCCAACUAUAAAAAGUGAGGUUGGGUGAAAUUAAAGUUGGCCAUAAUUGUUCCUAACAGUGUGAGUUUGCUUGUCAUUUUUUUUAAACAAAUAAUAGGAUAAUUUAUAUUAAAUUCAUACAAAUUACGAAAAGAGGGAGAAGUGUUAAACCUGGAAUGUAGUGAGUUGAUUCUUUAAAACUAGGGAAAUCCAUCACUUGGAAGUUUAUUAGUUGUAUUCUUUUUAGUUAGGGAGCAUCUCCACCCAUCCCUAAUUGCAGGGUGAAAUUGCCUUCUUGCCCAAAAGAAGUUGCUCCACCGGUGAAAAAUGGGAAGUGCAAUUGUCGGAAAGCUACGAGUUUUGCUAGCUGCCUUGCCAAUUAUUACAAGGGCUUGCACUCGGUUGAUGAACAGCAGAGGGAGGUCCACCCCAUUUUAAGUAGACAGAACCAAACGACUCAGAUGUGAUGAAAUAACAACAGUUGGAUUUACCAACGGUCUAUUGUUGGGUUUAAUUCGAGAUGGUUUGUAGUUGUGACAAAUCUACAUUGAGCCUUUGUUCCUUUUUGGUGUCUCAAAAUUAAAAACAUAAAGUUGUCCGUCAUUGCUAGACAGAAAAAGGAGAGAGACUGCUUCUAUCAUCACUUCCUUAGCAAGUGGCCGUUGGAUUUCCAACAGUAAAAAAAUAUAAAAAAAAUUUGGUGUUGCGCCACGUGGCACAUUGUGGUGUGUCAAAUCCUAAAAAUUUGAUUGGCUAUGAUUAAUCCAGCUCUAAAAAAAUCAAAAAAAUCACCAUUCAAAAAAAAAUAUUAUUAAAAAACAUUAAAAAAAACUUACAAAGUUCAUACUUCAAAAAUCUUACAAAGUUCAAUAUACUUGCAAAAUAAAACAUUAUUUUUGUUGUUGUAAACAAACGAUAUUAUCUUCUAAACAAUGUGGUUGAAUUUCACAUUUGGUAAGAAUCAAACCUAAUGCCUUUCAAUUACAAGUGAAGAGGAAUACGACUAGAUUGUAUUACUAAGUUACAAUUAAACAUUUAAAAUUAAACAAAAAUCUACGGCGAUAAUGUCAUGUAGGAAUAAGACGAAGAAAAUAUUGUAAAAAUUAAAAUAUAUAUAUUUGUGAAUAGUAAUUUCUCUUGCCCUUGCCUUCUUUCUUCCAAACUUGUAGACUUGCACAAGGGGAAUUGAAGUGCAUAAUACGGACAAUUUUGCUGCCCUUGCCUUCCAAUUGUCAUUGCCCUCCACCAACAGAUGAAAAUGCUCUUAGGACUAGUUUUGAGAUUUUAAUGCCUAGACUGGAGCGACAACAAAAAAGCCUCUUAAAUAUUUAUGCCUAAUUACAGAUGCACAAAAAAAAUCUUUGAGUGUUUUUUCUUUCAUUUUUUGGGGAAUGGAAUUAAAUCUUGAUUACUUUGUUUUGACUCAUAUAGCAGUCAAUGCACUAAAUUUUUUUUUGAUUAUUUUGAUGGAUAAUGCUAGAGAGACUAAAUUUAUAGACCAAAUUUUGUAAACUAACCGAGCCCAUAGAGUUGGCCAGACCCGAUUCUUCAAAAGUAGAUGCAUAAUCAUACUCCAGACACUUUGAAGCUCUUGGGAAAUGGCCUUGCCUUGGCUUCCUUUAGUUAAGAAUAGCAGAAUGACCACAACAGCUGAAGUGCAAAGGAAUUUCCGCUGGACCCAGCGAUCGUCUAGAAGAUGGAUUCCAACUCUGCAAAGGAGGUUCCUGUCUGGAAAACGAACUCCCACUCUGAAUCGAAGGUUUAGCGGAUUGUGCUUCUUAUCUAAGUUUUGCGCAUGAUUCGUAUUUAGACAUGCAACUAGCACAAUCAGAGUUUAUUUUAGAGACAAAAAAACUUCAAUUCAAGAUAGCUUUAGGACCAAGAAAGCAUCGUAGUGUUAUUAAACGCCCCAUCCGGUUACUAUUUAAAUGAGGCUGAAAAAGUAAACUUCAGUACCGAUUAAUUUUAAAGAAAACUACUGAAAAUGGCUUGAAAACCUUGAGUUUUAACAAAAAAUAUAAAAUAAAGGGUAAAGUUAAUAGUACCAUGAUUGAUUUUUUUUAGUGUAAAAGUGUGGUUUUUCAUUAAAGUGAAUAAUACUGGGAACUUUUCGUUUAAGACAAAUAAGGAAAUCUGGUCCGCCACGUCCUAUUCGAUUUAGGUUUUCCACAUUUAACCCUAAUUCAACUCACUAUGAAUGCCUGACCCAAAAAUAAAUGAAUAAAAAAAAAAAACCCACUCAGAAUCUCUAUAUAUUCCUCCACCCUCGUAAAUUCACACCUGAAAUUGUCAAGUUCUCUUACGUGCCUCGACAACAUGAAGCUCAUCGAGAACUUGAGGCUUAGGCUUUUCAACGGGGCUUUCUACUCCUCAAAAUGCGACAAAACAGCAGUGUUGGCGGUGGAUAGGAUACGCAAGUUAAGGAAGAGGAAAGAGGAGAACAUUGUGAAGAUGAGGAACAAAAUUUCUGCUCUCUUGCAGUGUGGUCAAGACCCAAUUAAUAAAACUUGUGCUGCUCGUAUUUUGAUCAAAGAUCUGAUAAGAGAAGAAAACAUUUUGGAGGCAUACGUGUUGAUCAAGGGUUUUUGUAACUUAGUUAGGGGUAGGCUCUCAGUUAUUCAAGUGCAGAGGGAAUGCCCCGAAAAUUUAAAACAAGCGAUUAGUUGUUUAAUUUUUGCGGCUAAAAAAUGCUUCCACGAGAUUCCAGAAUUAUUGACACUUGAGAAAAUUUUUAAGAAGUAUGGAAGUGAUUUUGUGCUUGCGGCUACUCAAACCAACUGUGUUACUUCCGUGAUGGUUGAGAAGCUCUCAAAUACAAACUCUACAGACGAAGAAAUAGAGAACAUUAUUGAGCAAAUAGCAAAGUCAUGCAAUAUAAAUGGAGAACAACAAGCAUGGAACUGUCAUCCCACAUCACCAUACUUAUAUGAUGGAGUUGCGUACAAUGCUUUUCUCAAUUAUAAGGGAAGAAAUUGUGGUAUCCAAUUUGGAGUAGUUUACUCUUUGAAAAAGAAAUUGGCUGUUUACUAUAAUGUAGCAAGGAAUCAUGUAUAACAGGAGUGCUUAUUACUUUUUUUUAUUUUUAUUUUUAUUUUUAAGUUUUAGUUUAGGGUAAUGUUAUUCUUACCAUCAAAUAUAUCACAAAUUCAUAUCGACUUAUACAGAAAUUGAUGAAACCCUAAUGUUCACGUUUUCUAGGCUCACAGUCGCCUCCUCCUUCUUCUCAUCUCUCCAUCGUCAUUUUUCUUUUCCAAAGAUGGAUGGUACCCCUUCACCUCUGUCGACGACUGAUCAAACCUCCACAAUCACAAGUGAGAGGCUCAGGGUCCGAAGAUAGUUCAUCCCAAAGAUCUUUGAGUUUGUUGUAGUAUGUGAAGAUUGAUCGCUGUCCCUAGCGGCAUUAGCCAAUUUCUUGUUGAAUCUGAUAAAUCCUUGAAUUAUUGCCAUGUAAGAAUUGAUUCUCAAGAUCCUUUUGUUCCCCCCCCCCUAAAUUCACCAUGGGCCUCGUACACAUUUCAGAAUUUUACUCGAACAAUAAACUGGUGGGUGCGAGCAUGCCACAACUAGAUGCCGCUAGUAAACGGGAUUUAAUGACUGAGAUUGCGCCUGAGUACGACUAACUAAGAGAUUGUGUCAUUGAGUGGGAGUGGCUCAAAGAAGGUUCUUUCCUUGCCUUAAAGAUAAGGACUUCACUUAUGUGGAGAAAUGUAACAACAUGUAAAUGGCAGGUUUGCUGGAAGUGUAAAUGAUUGGUACUGUAGAUUGCUUGUAAAUUAAAUGACUGGAAAUGAGUUGUACAUAAAUGUAAUUAUUUAAAGUACAAAACAUUAUAAGUACAAAGGGAUGCCAAAUACAAGGUUCGAGCUUGUUCCCAAGGGAUCGGGCAAGUUGCUCUAGUCUUGUGGCAAUUUCUAAUGGUUUGGGGAUUGGGUUUGAAGGCUGUAAAUAAAAAUACAAAGGAGAGCGAUACUACCAAGUGAGCAGCAAAGCAAUAAACUAGGGAAGUAAAGGGUGCUUGGCUAAAAGUAAAUGUUUACAAGGAAAUUAUAAAAGAGGCCAACCCACAUUUCCACCACAUGUGUUUACAAGUAAAUGUUUGGAGAAUGUUUGGGAAAUGGCUUAUGAAACAAUAUUAAAAGAGGCCAACUCACAUUUCCACCACAUGUGUAUUAAUCCUAGUUGCAAUAUAUUAAUAUUUAAAAAAAGCAAGUUGGCUUCCUUCCUCAACAUGUCCAUCUCCAAGUCUGCCAACAUCCUUACCCACAAUAGAGCCAUCACUUCAAAUCAUGUGGAGAAACAUUCCCACAUGCAACUUUUGGUAUAUUUGCAACUAAUCCCCCCAAAAUGUCAUAUUUUGGCUUUUAAACCCAAUUAAGUACAAUUGUGCAUAUUUGAGGUGCAAACACCUUCCACACAAUAGUCGCGGUUUGCAGUAGAGUAUACUGCGAACAAUAGUAUUGUGCACUAAUUGCAAGGUCCACAAGAGUACCAUGUCGUUGCAUCUCUGCCAAAUAGAAAAUUUUGCAUCGGACAUGGAUCAUCUCCGGAUCCAUUGGUCCUAAUCUGCCAAGUCACAUGAUCCGAGUCAUUGAAAUUUGAUCCAACGGCUAAAGUUAUUAUAACUUUUAGAAUGGGCCCCUGUUUGUAGUUGUUGGAUUAAAUAUCAAUGACUCGGAUGAUUUAACUUGGUGGAUUAGAACCAAUGGAUCCGGAAAGGAUCCAUGUCCUUUUGCAUUGGUGGUUGCAGGAGCUUUAAUUAAUAGACCCAUCAAUAGACUCGAGCUUAUUCUUUGCACUUAGAGGAAUGUGCAUAGAAUGGCAACAUUGUCUGUAGUUGUGUCAUUCGAGGAGUUUUGAACUAGAACAAGAUUCAAUGAAUCCGAGUGAUGUAAGGUGAGAGGAUCUGAUGUGUUUAGCACCUCAUCUGUUAGCUGUGUUUGUAGUAAAGCUUGGUUGUGUUUGUGGCGAAAGAUGAAUGGGUGUCUAGAGUCACCAGGAUCGUGCUGAUUUGAUGCCAUAUAAAUUGAUGUGUGAAUAUGUUUGUACUGGAUAAUUGUAACUAUACAGAGACAAUACUUUCCUACAAUCACUCCAAGACGGAUCAUGACUAUUUGAUCCUACAAUCCCUCCAUAUCAUAUCACAAUCUGAUCGCUCACUAGUUUGCUUCCUUUAGUGGACGCAACUAUUGUAUCUUCAUGCACAACCUUUAUAAGAGGCGAGUCUCAUUUAGGCAUUCAACUUAUUUAUCAAUUUCAUUUAUGGCGUUAACAAGUCUUUAGUAUAUUUAGACUAAAGAUUAAGCGAGUCUAUAAGGGAAUGAAACAUUGUGUUUCAGUAAGGCCUUAUGAUUUGACCGCUACUCAUACCAGAAGAGAAUGUUUGGAUAAAGAGAGAAAGAGAUGUUGAAGAAAUGAAGAAGCACUAACUUGUAUGAUAUCAGUUGAGAAUUACAACGCACCUCACUUUCAACUACAUAGCACAUUAAACUUGAUAGCUAACUAACUCUAGCUAUAAGAAACUAACAUUUCCUCUAACAACCUAUUAUUCAUCUUAACUUAUCAUCCCACAGGAUUAUGACACAUGGCACCUCAUAGAAUGAUGACACUUGUCGCUUAAUACCCCUCAAUCUCAGCAAAGAAUUUCAGCCUGAGGUUCAGACAAUGCUGCAAAAAUAAAGGAAAGUGAAAUUAAACAAUCAAACCUCCUUUUUGCACUCCUUUCUCAAACAAAAUGGUAAUUUGUGUCCAAAUGUUUAAUUCUUAUCUGAAACUAGUGGCGGAUCUAGGAAAUAAUAUUAGGGGGAUUAGUAAGAAUAGUGCGCGCAGUGCAAAUUUUUUUAUACCCGGAAUAUCAUGCAUAUCGCCAUUUCAUUGAGUCUUGGUAGGCCUGAAGUCAUUUGAAAAUGCAUAAUACACACAUGUUAAUGCAUGCAAGGGGCAACACCCAAGGUAUUUAUGGACAUUCAUUGGGUUUUGGUAGGCCUAAAGUCGGUUGGAGGGCAUGUAUGAAGCCAACUCUAAUCUUCAAAAGGGCAGCACUCAAGGUAUCCAUGGACAUUCUCCGAAGUUCGGAGGGUCAACAACUAAGGUAUCUAUGGAAGUUCAUCAAAGUUCGGGGGUCAGCUGACCCCCUUGCCCCUUAAUGGAUCCGCCAGUGUCUGAAACAAUGGAUUAAUAUGAGCGGAGAACAAAUAUCAUAGUCUAGAUUUGGUUGGGAAGACAAAUAUACCUAAAAAUAUUUCAAACUUAAUUGUAUCGUAUCCAAGCAACAUAUGCAGUUGUAUUUCCAAGUGCCUUGUACUUUGCCUCCACUGAAGUUCAAGGCACACAAUUCCUUCUUCAAUUAUCAUGAAAUAGGUAUCGUCAUUAUUGUAUUAACUUUUGCAGUCCUAUUUGCAUCACUAUAAGGUGACUAAAAUUAAUAACUAAAAUAUGAAAGGCCACAAUUUAUAUAUUUCCUUGUAGAUAACAUAGAAUCCUUUUAACCAGAUAAAAAUGAGCAUCGAUUCGAGUAGACAUGAACUAUAACAAGCAUAGUUCACAACAUAUAGGCUAUAUCAUGUCUAGUAAAAGUUUACUAUAAAGCUCCAACCAAACUUCUAUACAAAGUGCAAGACAAAACUUACAAUGUCAUUACAGGCUUUUGAAGCACAUCUCUGCAUACUUAGAUUGAGAAAUAAAAAGAUCCCAUUACCCUCGUAGGUGACUUGUAAUCCCAACAAUUUAUAUAAAUUAAUUAACCAUUCAAAUAUAUAUUAUACAUAUAUUCUCUUAAGGGUUUUUAUCACAAAUGGUCCCUGAAAUUGACCCUCAACAUCAAGAUGGUCCUUGAAAUUAAAAAUCAAUCAAUGUAGUCCCAGAAAAUAAGUAUCGCAAAUCAAUGUGGUCAUUCCGUCAUAAUUCUAUUAAAAUUUCCGUUAAGUGCUAAUAUGGCACAUAGAUGGGUCCCACAAGAAUUACGGGUUUUUUUAUAUUUUAUUUUUUAUCACAAAUGGUCCCUGAAAUUGACCAACUCCAUCAAAAUGAUCCUUGAAAUUUACCCACACCAUCAAGAUGAUCCUUGAAAUUGACCCACACCAUAAAAUGGUCCCUGAAAUUGACUCACACCUGGUCCCUGAAAUUGAAAAUCAAUCAAUGUAGUCUUUGAAAAUACGUGUCCCAAAUCGGACAAUAUCGUGCUACGACGGAGUCGAGCCUGGGAUCUGAUGGGGUCCAGGGCUGGGAUGUGACAAUUUGGUAUCAGAGCCACUAUGUCGUGUGGUGCGAGUGUGUUGAUGAUGAUGUCGGGUCUCUAAGGGGGGUGGAUUGUAAUAUCCCACAUUGCCUAGGGGAAUUGAUCCUCUAAGCCUUAUAUGUAUAUUCCCAUCUUUACCUAGAACGAGGCCUUUUAGGAGUUCACUGGCUUCGGGUUCUAUCGGAACUUCGAAGUUAAGCGAGUUCACGCGAGAGCAAUCCUAUGAUGGAAGACUAACUGGGAAGUUCUCGUGUGAGUUCCCAGAAACAAAACUGUGAGGGCGUGAUCGGGGCCCAAAGUUGACAAUAUCGUGCUACGGCGGAGUCGAGCCCGGGAUGUGGUGGGGGUCAGGGCCGGGAUGUGACAGGUUUAGUUUUAGAAAUAGUGUGAGUUAUUUUGCUAUAGUUCCAGAAAUAGUGUGGCUUAUUUUCGUUUAGUAUCACAAAUAGUAUGGUUAUUUUAUUUUAGUUCUAGUAAUAGUGUGAAUUAUUUGUUGUAGUUUCAUAAAUAAUGUCAGUAAUUUUGUUGUGGUUUCAUAAAUAGUGUGGUAAUUUUUUAUGUAGUUUCAUAAAUAGUGUGGCAAUUUGUUGUAGUUUUAAAAAUAAUGUGACAAAUUUUGUUGUAGUUUCAUAAAUAGUAUGAUAAUUUUACCGUAGUUUCAUAAAUAGUGUGGUAAUUUUUUAUGUAGUUUCAUAAAUAGUGUGGUAAUUUGUUGUAGUUUUAAAAGUAAUGUGAGAAAUUUUGUUGUUGUUUCAUAAAUAGUGUGGUAAUUUUACUGUAGUUUCAUAAAUAGUGUGGUAAUUUUGUUGUAGUUUCAGAAAUAGUGUGGGUAAAGUUUCAGAAAUAGUGUGAGUAAUUUUUUUGUAGUUUCAUAAAUAGUGUUGUAAUUUUGCCGUUGUUUUAUAAAUAAUGUGAGUAAUUUUGUUGUAGUUUCAUAAAUAGUGUGGUAAUUUGCUGUAGUUUCAUAAAUAGUGUGGUAAUUUUGCUGUAGUUUUAGAAAUAUUGUAGGCAAAGUUUUAGAAAUAGUGUGAGUAAUUGUGUUUUAGUUUCAUAAAUAGCAUGGUAAUUUUGCUAUAGUUUUAGAAAUAUUGUAGGUAAAGUUUUCUGAAAUAUUGUGUAAUUUUGUUGUAGUUUCAUAAAUAGUGUGGUGAUUUUGCUGUAGUUUCAUAAAUAAUGUGAGUAAUUUUACUGUAGUUUCAUAAGUAGUGUGGUAAUUUGCUGUAGUUUUUCAAAAAGCCAAAUAACACUAAACCACACGUUAAUUUUUAACUUGAAAAACAAAACUUAGAUAUCCAAAUUUAGUAACACCACAAAUUCUUAUAUCAUAAGACCCAAUUCAUGUUCAUCACUGGAAACAAAACUAAUAGUACAUAAGGCGUGGACUUUGAUCUUGACAUUAUCAAGGAUGUCCAUCGUCUUAGAGGAGAGGAUGAUCUCAACUAUCAUCCAAUUACUAAAAAUUAAUCACUUCCAAAUGCAAAUCCCAAAUGCCAAAUGCAAUCUUGCAGGUUCAACUAGACUACUCAUCAUGACGUUUCUUUGUCGUGAAGACUGCUAGAAUAGUUAUUUAUGAAACUAUACCAAGAACUAGAUAUUAUUUAUGAAACUGGACCAAGAAAGAGACAUUAUUUAUGAAACUGUACCAAUUAUUGUACACUGUUUAAGAAAAUGGAUCAAGAACUAGACACUUAUUAUGAAACAUGACAAAAAAAACUAGGCAUUAUAUAUGAAAGUGGACCAAGAACUAGGCACUAUUUAUGAAACUGGACUAAGAAUAAGACACUAUUUAUGAAACUAUGCCAACUACUAUACACUAUUUAUGAAACAGUACCCAAUAACUAGACACUAUUUAUGAAAUUGAAUCAAGAACUAUGCACUCUUUAUGAAUCUGGACCAAUAAAUAGUGUUGUAAUGUUCAGUUUCAUAAAUAGUAUAGUAUCGUUCAGUUUCAUAAAUAGUGUAGUACCGAUCAGUUUCAUAAAUAGUGUUCGGUUUCAUAAAUAGUAUAACACUAUUCAGUUUCAUGAAUAAUGUAGUACCGUUAAGUUUCAUAUAUAAUGCAGUACCAUUACUUUUCAUAAACAGUGUCUAUUAUGGACGUUCGAAUCCUGCACACGGGUUUUUUUUAAUAAUUUUAAAUCUAUAUUCGUUUCCCAUCCCUUUCACUAGUAAGCAACUCAUGCUAAUUAGAACUUUGCCUUUCUCCUUUCACAAAGUUUGCCGAUGAUAAACUAACCCACCCAAAAGGAAAAAGCCAUUCAUAAAGCUCAAAAAAAUGGCUCUCAUCCAUCAAACCUCCUUGUUGUACUUUCAACGAUUAGGGGAGCAGCAAACCCGCACUCAAUAACUUUAAAUGAAAAAAGAAAAAUAUUUCCUCACUCAAGAAUUUUAGUGCCGAAAAUUCAAUAACAAAAACAUACACAACAGCUCCAACUUCCCAGUCGUCGUCGUCUCCACCUUCAUCAUUAUUCAAUUGCAGAAAUUCAAUAACAAAAACAGAACCGUAAAUUGAAAUCAGAAACGAAAUCGCAAUAUGCAAAUCUUUUAAACAAGAAACCAAUUGAACGAGAAAGAGAGCAUUGACACAGGAGAAACCGAGCUCCAGAAGCUUGAUUUUGAGACGCUCGCCCGUGCUAUCGGAUUCGAUCGAUUCAAUUGAUUCGAAAAAUGGUGGAAUUCGAAUUGAAAAUGAAAAACAAGUUGGGUGGGGGGAGAGAGAGAGAGAGAGAGAGAGAGAGAGAGAGAGAGAGAGAGAGAGAGAGAGAGAGAGAGAGAGAGAGAGAGAGAGAGAGAGAGAGAUCAAUUCAAUUGCAACAAUGGCGGAAGUGGAAUUGAAUUGGAAAUAAAAAUUGGGAAAAUUUGAAAUAGGUCCAAUUUUAUAAGCCUACUUUUGAAAUAGGUCCAAUUUUUAGUAACUUUUGACUUUUGAAAUAAGUCCAAUUUUUAAUUACUUUGGACCCAUAUCAAAAUACCCCAUAAAAAUAAUAGCAGAGAAUAAAAAGUGAGAUCGAGAAAGGGAAAGAGUUAUUGAACCGGCAAAGCUUGGCAUCAGGGUAAAUUGGAAAACUCAAUGUUUGGGCCAUUUUUAUUGGACUGGUUUAGUGUUAGGCUUUGUCCUAAUCAUUAAAUAAAGUUAUUACAUGAUUUCUUUAUUAACUUUCAAAAUUUUCAUUCCAUUUUCAUUAGUUUUUUUUUUGUUUUUAUGUGAUAGCGUCAAAAUCUAGAAAAUAAAAUUGGUAAAGGCCAUUGUGAUAUUUUCUUAAAGUAUAAAAGGCAUUUUAGACUUUUGAAAUUGAAAAAUAUGGGUAGUUUAGGAAUUGAAAAUUUUUCAUUCGAGGGAGCCAAGGGCUUCCUCUUUUUUCUCCCGGCAGUUCUUGUGUUUACUCCCGGCAACACUUUUUAGGAGGAUGCCCCUCCUAGGUGCUUCUUCAAAUCUUACUCCAAGUGUUUCUACUUUUAACUUAAAACACUUCUAAAAUUUUUCCAAACCAUCAUUUUUCACAUGUAAGCGCUUUUAACUAUUUAAAAGCACCUCUCAAACAAGGCCUCGUAAUUCAAGUGCUUGGUUGUGGGGUACUAUAAAGAGUGAGGUUGGGUGAAAUUAAAGUUGGCCAUAAUUGUUCCUAACAGUGUGAGUUUGUUUGUCAUUUUUUUUUAACAAACAAUAGGAUAAUUUACAUUAAAUUCAUCCAAAUUACGAAAAGGGGGAGAAGUGUUAAACCUAGAAUGUAGUGAGUUGAUUCUUUAAAAUUAGGGUAAUCCACCACUUGGCAGUUUAUUAGUUGUAUUCUUUUUAGUUAGGGAGCAUCUCCACCCAUCCCCAAUUGCAAGGGUGAAAUUGCCUUCUUGCCCAAAAGAAGAUGCUCCACCGGUGAAAAAUGGGAAGUGCAAUUGUCGGAAAACUAGGUGUUUUGGUAACUACCUUGCCCAUUAUUACAGGGGCUUGAGCUCGGUUGAUGAAGCAGCAGAGGGAGGUCCACCCCAUGUGAAGGCGACAAAACCAAACGACUCAAACGUGAUGCUAGAACAACAGUUGGAUUUACCAACGGUCUAUUAUUGGGUUUAAUUCAAGGUGGUUUUGUAGUUGUGACAAAUCUAGAUUGAGCAUUUGUUCCUUUUUGGUGUCUCAAAAUUAUAAACAUAAAGUUGUCCGCCAUUAAUAGACAGAAAAAGGACAGAGACUGCUUCUAUCAUCACAUCCUUAGCAAGUGGCCGUUGGAUUUCCAACAGUAGAAAAAUAUAAAAAAUUUGGUGUUGCGCCACAUGGCGCAUUGUGGUGCGUCAAAUUCUAAAAAUUUGAAUGGCUAUGAUUAAUCCAACUCUAAAAAAUUCAAAAAAAUCUAAAAAAUGGCCAUUUAAAAAAAAAAAUUAUUACAAAACAUUAAAAAUAAAACUUACAAAGUUCAUACUUAAAAAAUCAUACAAAGUUCAAUAUACUUGCAAAUUAAACAUUAGUUUUGUUGCUGUAAUCAACCGAUAUAAUCUUCUAAAGAGGUGGGGUGUAGGCUAAGCCUCACAAUGAGCUAAUCGAACCUAAGGCAUUUUAAUUACAAGUGAAGAGAAAUACGACUAGACUAUAUUACUAAGUGACAAUUAAACAUUCAAAAUUAAACAAAAAUCUACGGCGAUAAUGUCAUGUAGAAAUAAGAUGAAGAAAAUAUUGUAAAAAUUAAAAUAUAUAUUUGUGAAUAGUAAUUGUUCUUGCCCUUGCCUUCCUUCUUCCAAACUUGUAGACUUGCACAAAGGGAAUUGAAGUGAAUAAUACGGACAAGUUUGCUGUCCUUGCCUUCCAAUUGUCAUUGCCCUCCACCAACAGAUGAAAAUGCUCUUAGGGCUAGUUUUGAGAUUUUAAUGCCUAGACUGGAGCGACAACAGAAAAGCCUCUUAACUAUUUAUGCCUAAUUACAGAUGCACACAAAAAAAUCUGAGUAUUUUGUUUUCACUUUUUGGGGAAUGGAAUUAAAUCUUGAUUAUUUUGUUUUGACUCUUAUAGCAAUCAAUGCAAUAAAACAAAUCUUGAUUAUUUUGAUGGAUAAUGCUAGAGAGACUAAAUUUAUAGACUAAACUUUGUAAACUAAUCAAGCCCAUAAGGUUGGCCAAACCCGAUUCUUCAAAAGUAGAUGGACAAUCAUACUCCAGACACUUUGAAGCUCCUGGGAAAUUACCUUGUCUUGGCCUCCUUUAGUUGGGAAUAGCAGAAUGACCACAACAGCUGAAGUGCAAAGGAAGUUCCGCUAGACCCUACGAUCGCUUAGAAGACGGAUUCCAACUCUGCAAAGGAGGUUCUUGUCUGGAAGCCGAACUCCAACUCUGAAUCGAGGGUUUAGCGGAUUGUGCUUCUUAUCUAAGUUUUGCGCAUGAUUCGUAUUUGGACAUGCAAUGAGCAGAAUCGGAGUUUAUUUUAGGGACAACAAAAUUUCAAUUCAAGAUAGCUUUAGGACCAAGAAAGCAUCAUAGUGUUAUUAAACGCCCCAUCCGGUUACUAUUUAAAUGAGGCCAAAAAGUAAACUUCAGUACCGGUUAAUUUUAAAGAAAACUAAUGAAAAAUGUUUGAAAACAUUUAGUUUUAACGAAAAAGAUAAAAUAAAGGGUAAAGUGAAUUGUACCAUAAUUGACUAUUUAGUGUUAAAGUGUGGUUUUUCGUUAAAGUGAACAAUACCGGGAGCUUUUCGUUAAAAUUUCCUUAAUUUUAAUCAAUUCCCAAUCAAGAAAGGAAAAGGAUUCCUAGACAAAUAAGGAAAUUUGGUCCGCCACGUCCUAUUCGAUUUGGGUUUUCUUAAUUUAACCCUAAGUCAACUCACUAUGAAUGCCUGACCCAAAAAAUAAAUAAAAACACCCACUCAGAAUCUCUAUAUAUUCCUCCACCCUCGUAAGUUCACACCCCAAAUUGUCAAGUUCUUUUACGUGCCUCGACAACAUGAAGCUCAUCGAGAACUUGAGGCUUAGGCUUUUCAACGGGGCUUUCGACUCCUCAAAAUGCAACAAAACAGCAGUGUUGGCGGUGGAUAGGAUACGCAAGUUAAGGAAGAGGAAAGAGGAGGACAUUGUGAAGAUGAGGAACAAAAUUUCUGCUCUCUUGCAGUGUGGUCAAGACCCAAUUAAUAAAACUUGCACUGCUCGUAUUUUGAUCGAAGAUCUGAUAAGAGAAGAAAACAUUUUGGAGGCGUACGUGUUGAUCAAGGGUUUUUGUAACUUAGUUAGGGGUAGGCUCUCAGUUAUUCAAGUGCAGAGGGAAUGCCCCGAAAAUGUAAAACAAGCGAUUAGUAGUUUAAUUUUUGCAGCUAAAAAAUGCUUCCACGAGAUUCCAGAAUUAUUAACACUUGAGAAAAAUUUUAAGAAGUAUGGAAGUGAUUUUGUGCUUGCGGCUACUCAAACCAACUGUGUUACUCCCGUGAUGGUUGAGAAGCUCUCAAAUAGAAACUCUACAGACGAAGAAAUAGAGAAGAUUAUUAAGCAAAUAGCCAUGCCAUGCGAUAUAAAUGGAGAACAACAAGCGUGGAACUGUCAUCCCACAUCACCAUACUUAUAUGAUGGAGUUGCGUACAAUGCUUUUCUCAAUUAUAAGUGAAGAAAUUGUAGUAUCCAAUUUGGAGUAGUUUACUCUUUGAAAAAGAAAUUGGCUGUUUACUAUAAUUUAGCUAGGAAUCAUGUAUGACAGCAGUGCUUAUUACUUUUUUUUAUUUUUUUUAUUUUUAAGUUUUAGUUUAGAGUAAUGUUAUUCUUACCAUCUAAAUAUAUCACAAUUUCAUAUCAACUUAUACAGAAAUUGAAGUGGACUAACACAUCAAUUUAAAACAAUCUUGUACCAGCAAAGGUGAAUAAUCACAUUAAUAAAAAAUGAUUCUUUUUUUUUUUUUUGAAAAGCGGGGACAAUUGGUGGCAAACCAUUGUUAUCCACCCCUUUAGGGGGAUAAGAAGACUCACAAAGGCAUUUCAACCUUUUUUUUUAUUUUUAAGAAAUUGAUGAAACUCUAAUGUUCACGUUUUCUAGGCUCACAGUUGCCUCCUCCUUCCUCUCAUCUCUCCAUCAUCAUUUUGCUUUUCCAACGACUGAUGGUACCCCUCCACCACUGCCGAUGACUGAUCAAACCUCCACAAUCACAAAUGAGAGGCUCAGGGUAAGAAGACCACAACAGCUGAAGCUUAAAGGAAAUUCCGCUGGACCCUGCAAUCGUCUAGAAGAUGGAUUACAACUCUGCAAAGGAGGUUCCUGUCUGGAAGACGGACUCCAACUCUGAAUCGAGGAUUUAGCGGAUUGUGCUUCUUAUCUAAAUUUUGCCCAUGAUUCGUAUUUGGACAUGCAACUAGCACAAUCGGAGUUUAUUUUAGGGACAAGAAAACUUCAAUUCAAGAUAGCUUUAGGACCAAGAAAGCAUCAUAGUGUUAUUAAACGCCCCAUCCGAUUACUAUUUAAAUGACGCCGAAAAAGUAAACUUCAGUAUCGGAUAAUUUUAAAGAAAACUAAUGGAAAAAAUUUGAAAACCUUGAUUUUUAACAAAAAAAAAAUAAAAUAAAGGGUAAAGUUAAUAGUACUAUGAUCGACUUUUUAGUGUAAAAGUGUGGUUUUUGGUUAAAGUGAAUAAUACGGGGAGCUUUUCGUUAAAGUUUCCUUAAUUUUAAAGGAAAACUAAUGAAAAUGGCUUCAAAACUUUUACUUUGAACCAAAAACCACCUACUAACUUUAUUUAAUGAUAAGGACAAGAGAAAAAUAAAUAAAAAAUACAUAACAAAAGUUUGGUGCUUCAGCCUCCUUUCUUCGAAGCUCACCUCCUCCGCACCAACUCCUUCACCGCUGGCAUCCCCACCCUCCCCGAACUUUGCCUCCGAUUCUCGGCCAGCAACCGCCAUGGCAACGAGCUUGGCGACAAGGAACAAGAGGAUCAAAGCCAACGACGCCGUCUACUGCCCUUGUUAGCCUUCUUUCUCUCUUUCUUCACCUUUGAGUUUCUGCUCCUCUUCUUCUCCACCAACCUCUCCUCAAAAGCCUCAAGGAUUUCAUGGAUCAGCUGCCGGUUUGGCGAAACGUCCCACCGUGCCCAAAAACUCAUGUAGCUCCGAAAGCAGUCGCACUGGAACGUAGGAGGGUGGUCCACCCAAAACUAUUUCAAACCCAGAUUUGAUCCAAGAUUCUAGAAGACAUUACUAACAACAAAUUACAACAAAACCAAGCUAAUUUUACCUCUUUUUUUCAAGGGUUGUAGCUUGAUUCCAUUAGACCAACUCUCACCGAGAACCCCUGCUUGGAUUAUCCUACUUCCCAUUACAGAAUUUAACAUGCAAUGGUACCAUAGUUAUCCCCAGCUUGCGCAGGUCUUGUAUUUUGGUGGUUUGGGGUCUCAAUUAAAUUGGAAUUUGUUGUGAUGGUGCUUGGAGUUCUUUUUGGCUAUGGUGGUUUAAAGAGAAGGCAGAGAGUUCGAAAAGAGAGAGAGUUCUGGAGUGUUCACGGGGGAAAAGGAAAAGAACAAAGAAAAGGGGAAGAAAACAGAGUGGGCCAGGUUACAAACA
rnacentral:lncRNA from 1 species